UGAGGGGAAGUAAUGAAAUGAAAUUAUAUGUAGUUGAAGAGAACUAGAAAAAUUUGAUGAAAAAAGAUUAUAAAUUUAUUAAGAUUCGGGGGCAAUUACUUAUAUAAUCUUGAAAAGUUUCAAACUUUCUUAUUUAACAGCCGCUUAGCAAACUAACAUAAAAAGUACUUUUUUAACGUUUCAAGUUCUUUCAAAUAUACUUUUAAAAUUAGAUUCUAUUAGUAAACUAUUAGAAAUAUAGUACGUUAUCUCUGUAAAAUUACUAUUUUUAUUUUUUCAAAUAUAUCCUUCUAAACUCACUAAUCUUUUUUAUUUGCCCUAAAGUUAAGAAAAAAAGAGGUAUAGAGGUCUUUCAAAUAUACCAUUUUACCGUUACCAACUUUUAUUAUUUAUCCUUACGUUAGGGGUAGAAGAGUCAUUUUGACUUUUUUUUUUUAACUCUAAUGGAAAUUUAACUCGGAUUUAAUUAGAGAUAACUUAACGAGUAAUAAUAGCAAAGUUAGUUCUGAAUAACGGGAAAACAUACGAAGAGUAUAUUUGAAAAAAAAGGGUAUAUAUAAUAUUUCAGAAGUUUUGAGGGGUAUAUAUGUAAUUAUUCCUAAGAUUAAUAACCACCAAAACAGUUACUAUUCAGUGACCUACAAAUGCUCAGUACUACCACAAAUAUAUUUUUUUAAAAAACAGAUGUUGUAUGAUUUGGCACAGAUUAAAUUUCUAAGUUUUGUUUAUUUAUUUAUUUUGAUAAUAUAAAUUAGGAACAAUUUUAUUUUAGAUGUAGAAAUUAAAGAAUCUUACUUCUUUGUCCCAGUUUGUCCUUAACAUGAUGAUUCCAUAGAGCAGAUCCUGAAGGGAAAGAGCACAUAUUAUCCCAAUCCAAAGACCCUGAAAAGUAUAACUAUUUCUUAUACUCAUGUCAAAUAAAUUCAAAAAUAUUAUGGUAGAAAUGUGUAAAGACAACAACAAUAAAAUUAACAAAAAAAAAAAAAAAAAAAAAAAAAAAAAAAAAAAAAAAAAACCACCUUUCCUCUUAAAUGAGCAACAAAAGCCAAAAUAGCAGAAACAGGAACCCCCACAAUGUAGUAAGCUCCAAGAUUAAUGAAUGCACCAAUCUUUUGUAGACCACAUCCUCUUGUAGCUCCUGAAUAUUAGAUAAUAUUAUGUUAAUUUAAAUUCCAAGAGAGAUAGUGCUUGCUCGAUCUAGCUUCUAAAAAAAUCAACUUUUGCGAUGAUCAACGAAUGGAACUUCAAUAUUCGAGAAACUAAGUUCAAAAACUAUAUUGUGCAAGUCAUGAACAGUUCCAACACUAAACAUUUCACUAAACAAAUUUUAAGUAUUUGUUCACACAACAUUAUUCGAGCAGCACUUCUGCUAUACUCUGACCUAGACAAACAAAUCUAAAGUAUGCUUCACAAUGUGAUAAUGAAAGAACAUUUAUACUUGUACACCUCAAAAGGGGUACAGAUCUUACACUCUUCAUCUUAAGAUUUACAAAAAUUCAAAUAGUUUUUAGUUAGAAUAAAAAUAGAUUGAUGUAACAAGUAGAGAAUUAAAGGCUUUUAUAUAAAGUGGGUGUAAGAUGUACACCAAUUUUGGAAUGUACCAGUAACAUUGCUCAUAACGAAAUAGCAAGAUUAGGAAGGUUGUACCAGAAAGCACGCUCUGGAAUCCAUCUACUAGAUGGCCCAGUGCAAGCAAGGGCAUCAGAGCUGCAACAUGUCUCACCACUUCCUUCUCAUUGCUGUAUACUUUACCCCACACAUUCCUCACCAUUAUUAUGACUAAUCCUACGAUUAAGCCCUCCGCUAACGCAAGCGCGGCCGCCACGCGGACCGCCAUGCGUGCAGCGUGUGGACGAUCGGCGCCCAAUUCGUUCGAUACGCGUACGCUACAAGAAAAAAAAAAACACAAGAAAUUAAAGUGUCAUUUAGCUACUACUGUUAACUUUAUUACUGUUGUUGUUGCAAUUAUUAGAAAAGCUAACCUAAUAGCUGUACUGAGACCAAGGAUGAUCAUGAAGACCAUAGAAGCAGUGUUCAAUCUAUAGAAAAAAGGUAAAAGAGAUCAAUAUUAUAAGGUGUUAAUUAAAGAGCAAAACUAACACGAAAAAUCUGGGUAAUAAAAUUUUAAGAAACGUAAAUGAAUUGAAGGAAUAGAUACUUACAUGAUAGAUAACACCGAGGUUUCGAGCUUUGGAUUCGGCAGAAGGCCAGAAAGAAGUAUAAGCAACUCGAACGACCAGAAUUCCAAGCUGUUUCAAAAAAAAUCAAAGACUAUUUGAUAAAAUUAGAAGUAUAUAUAACACUAACUAAUUCAUGCCCAAUUUGCUUGAGAUAGUUGCAAUACAAGAAAAUAGAUUAUUGGCAAAAAUAAAGUGGCGACAAGUUUUAUCGCCAUUAGAUUAGUUAACCUAUAGUGGUAAUACCAUUUUUGCCACCGAAAUAUAUUUUGUCGUCACUGUAUACUUGUAACGCUCCAAUAAGUCUCACAUCGGAUGCAAAAUAAUUUUGAUUAGAAUAUAUGAGACUUUCACAUUAGUAAUAUUAACUGGGUUUAAGCAUUUUGGGCCGGUGGUUUAGGCCCAAUAAGUUAUUAUUGCUAGCGGGUCGGGUCGUUUUAAUUAGUAUCAGAGAUGUAUACCAGUUGGAAGUGUGAGAGCUAAGUGCUAUGCAGGGCAAAAUGCUACAUUAACGGAUUUAAUAGGAGUCACCUCUUGAACCCGUAGAAGUCACCUCUAAAAUCUCACAUUUCGCCUGAUAAUUCUAAUCUGUCUGUAAUCUGGAUUUGGACCUGACGAAGACGUCAAUAAGCCUCUACGCUAGUAAUAAUAACCGGACUUAAAUAUUUUGGGCCGGUGAUUUGGAUCCAACGAGUUAUUAUUACUAACAAGUUGGGUCGUAACAAUACUGACAUGUAGUGAAAAAAAAAAAAAUUCCAUUAAUUAGUUUAAGUUAAAUUGUCGCAAAACCCAUGGAUUCAUUUACCAGGGAGACCAACUGCGGCAACAUGUGGCGACAAUUUUUGUCGCCAUUAUGUACAUUUGGUGGCGACAUUUGAUAUAUUCGGUGGCGACUUCAGUCAUCACUGUACGAUAAUUAAUUUGUAGUGUUGAGAUACCCUGGUUACAACUUUGAAUGAAGCUCAACAUACCACAUCAUAAGGGCAGACGGAACGGCUAGUCUAAUGAAGCUGAAAACAUUUUUCAGAGCCUCCCUGGAAAAUCCAGUCCAGGUUGUGUUGAAUGCGGGGGACAGCUUGAUAUAAAGAGCCAAAAGCAAUACAUUAAACCAAUACGAGAUCGAAUUCGCCAACGCCGCGCCUCUGUUGCCGAGGCCGGAUUUGAACACCAGGAGCCAACACACAAGGAUGUGGAGCAGAGAAGUAAUCCCCGAAGUUAGCAUGAGAGGAAGGACGAUGUUCUGCGUCUGCAUGAAUCUAACUUGGCAUUGCAGGACGGCGUAUCCGAAAAGCGCCGGAAUCAUCCAGCGAGCGUAGAUUCCGGCUUCUGCUGAGAUCUCGCGAUCUUGUCGAAGCGCGACGAGGAUGCGGCCCGAGAAAGCCCAGAGGAAUGAGACGGGGACGCUUACGAGUGUUAGUACAAGCAUUGCCCUUUGCAUGUGUAUGCCCAGCAUGUAGUUCUCUUUCGCGCCGAAGGCUUGGCCGCAGAAAGUGUCCAGAGCACUCCCCAGUCCAAUCUUGUUCAUGCAUCAAUUAAUUUGCAGUAAAAGCAUAUCAAAACAUAUUUCUCCGUUUCUCGAUAGCACUACAUUUCUUAAUAGGACGGUAGAAAUUUUAUCGUAAUCGACUCAUUGCGAUUUACAGAACAUGAUAUUAUGUACAUAUACAAAUAGAAAACUCAUUUCAUAUAACAUAACCUUUCUGCAAUUAGAAACAAAGCCUAAAUCUCAGCAAGUGGCACCAUCCCGUAGAGGGGGGGGGAGAGAGAGCGCGUGUACUACGCACGAAAGGAAAUAGAAAACUCACUAUCCGUAACACAAUCUCCUUAUAAUAAAAAAACAGAGCCUAGGAAAACAAAUAAAAUACUCACUAUCAUUACAGAAAUAACGCCUACGGAAACAAAUAAAAAACUCACUAUUCGUAAUACAAUCUCCUUACAAUCAGAAACAGAGCCUACAAAAGCAAAUAAAAAACUUAUUAUCUGUAACACAAUCUUCCUAUAAUCAGAAACAGAGCCUAAACCUCAGUAAGUGGCACCAUCUCAUAGAGUGGAGAGGGAGGGUGUGGGGGUAGGGGGGAAGAGAGAGAAAGCACAUGCACUUACAAUGAGACCAAAACCAGUGAACCCAGCAAAGGAGGUGGCCAUGGAGGCACCAGAGAGAGCCAACUCCCCAAGAUGGCCCACAAACAUAACUGAGAUCAUGCCAAGAGCAUUAAGGAGAAGGUUUGAUACCACAAGGGGCCAUGCCAACCCCAAUUGCUUCCUCACCUCCUUCACCACCUCUUCCUUGUUACUCCCCAUUUGUGGCCACCACUCCCACCACCCCACUCUAAAUAUUAUUAUGUAUAUUUACUUCUUAUAAUGUGAGUAGUAGUGUGGAGAAGGAGCAAGGGAUAAAAAGUGGGGAGCACAAAUGUUGUGAGGGUCCACAUGUCAGCUUCAUAAGAUACUUCUUUUUUAAUUUUAAUGUAAUGUAAAGGGAGCUGAUGAUCCAUGUGUCAGCUUCACAAGAUUACGUAUUUAUAUUCAUAUGAAAACUUGUAGGAAAAUGCAUGCUUAGUGGUUUAUAAAUGUUGUUUUCUUUAUAGAAUUAUUAAUAUAUAUAUUAGUAAAUUUAUUUGAUGGUCACCCAGGCUUAAGUUGCGGUAAAAAUAAAAAGAGAGACAAUUCUUCGACAAAUACGAAAAUAUUAUUAAUCAGUACGUAUAUACAUAGGGUUGGAUAUUUGAAUCCUACUAUAAUUGCAGAUAAUAAAUUUUAGUAUAUCUAUAGAUCUAAGCCUAUAAAAAGUAAUCAAAUAAUCAGACACAAAAUACAAAAAUUUUUAAAAUAACCUAAAAUUGCAAAAACAAGAGGUUUAAACAGUUUAAUUUGGAUCCCAAAAAUGACCAGAAGGGCUUUACCUUUUGACGCGUAGAUCUCGAAAGGUGUCUUCGAAUUAGGGUUGUAUGCUGAUCAAAACAGAUACUCAAGCGAAAAAUUACGACCGUUUAAAAACUUUCCGCAAUGAUUGUAAAAUUGCCGGUGGGAAUUUCGGCCUAACUUGAUUGAGCCAUACUUUUCACGAACUUUAAUGCUAAAUUAGCCGCAUCAAAUAGUUUUAAAAUGCAUGUAUUAAUUAAUUAAAAAUUUUGUAUUAUAAGUGUCAACAUAUUAAUAAGAGUUGAGAGGUGCGGUACGUGCUUCCAAAAGAACGGAGGCCUUUAUACUUUUCUUUUAUAUUUCAUGAUCUAACUAAUUAACAUGCGGAUCGACAGUUUGUUCCUUUAUAUAUAAUCCAUAUUAUUAAAAGUAUCUAGGCACUAAAUUUUGUGAUUUCUUGUAUCAUUUGCCCAGUGAUCUAAUCAUCUAAAAACAAACUAUUAAUUAAAGUAGAAAUUUUAUUGAAACUGAUUUUACAAGACUUAGAUUAGAGAUCGAUUUUACUUGCUUUGGAUUGUUCUAUACAAUUAAAUUUGCGAACAUAUAAUUAAAAUUGGCAAUUAAAUAUAUCAAUUUUAAGACUUUUCGAUCACUAGAACAUAUUAAUAGUGCCGAAAAGCCAUAAAUUUGAUAUCUAAAUAAUUUAAAUAGUUUAGAUCAUACUAAUAGAGCCAAUGGUGAAUUUAAAUAUCCCGUUAUCAAAAGUAUAAUAAAAAUAUAAAAAUUUUCGUACUUUCGAAAGAAUUUCUAAUGCACUCUACUAAUAGUAGAUACAAACAAUAUUUGGAAUGACCUUACUGCCAUUAAAAUAGGCAUGUGAAAACAUAUUACUCUCUCUUUCUAAUAUUGUUAAAAUUCAAAAAAAUAAUUGUAUAAAUUCUAGGGAUAGGAAUACAACUCAUGGAUUCAAGAUAGUAAUCCUAUAAUCUUUUUGGGUUGUAGAUUAAGCAGUUCCUUUUUCCUGUUUUUUAUUUUGCGGAUUUAGAUAAUAUAUACCUAAUAAGACAAAAUUACCCAAACACUAAAACUUGUAUUUGGGGCUUCUUAUAUAUGCAUGUUGCCAACUCACUAAUGUUUCUCCUUACAAGCAUCUCCUCAACNUUUUUUUUUUUUUAAGAGAUAGGUAGCACGUUACCCGCUUCGUUUAUUUCAUUUAGAAAUAAACUUAGCUAGAAAUGUGAAUCAACUAAGAUUCGAACUUGGGUCUCGGGUACCAACCACCAAACCCUUUGCUACUUGCUUUAGGAGCGGUCGGUAUCUCAUCAACUACCUUCGUAAUCUCUUUUUCAAGUUUCACACUUUUUAAGACUCUUCAAAGCCUAAUUUACUGCUACAAUAUUUUUUUUUUUUUUGAGAGAUAGAUAGUAUACUACUCGCUUUGUUUAUUUCAUUUAGAAAUAAACUUAGCUGGAAAUGUGAAUCAACUAGGAUUCGAACUUGGGAUCUCGGGUACCAACCACCAAGCCCUUUGCCACUUGCGCUAGAGACGGUCGAUAAUUUACUGCUACAGUAUUGGUAGUUGGUAAAGGACACUGGUUUCAAACAUAGCAAAUGUAGUUUGGUUCGACCUAAUUAUAAAUACAGUAAUUUGAAGAUACAUGCAUGUAGUUAGAAAUACAAUAAGUAUAAUUAUAUGCAUUUGAUUUAGUUAGAUCUAGUUAAAAAAAAACUUGCAGGUAUGAAUACUUUGUUUGGUUACAUGCUGUUAAAAAGUGCAUUUAAGAAUUUUUAUUAUUUCAUACAUGUGGUAGUGAGAUUAUCUUUUAUGUAGAAAAGAAAAAAAAAAAAAAAAAGAUAGUGGAGAAGUAAGCUAAUCUCUGUGUAAAAUUAGUCUCUCCAAUUGCUGCAGUUAGAAUUGCAGUCAAUUUAUGCGUAGUUGCAAUUGCUGUAAUUAAGCCUUCUCGUGCAGUUGAAUUUAAACGCAUCAAAAUAUGUAAACACCGGAUUUGGACUGCAUGCAGUUGUAGCUGCAGUGCAGUUGCAAUUACGUAUAACCAAACAGCCGCUAUUUGUUAUAUGAGAUGACUACUUAAGAGGUUGAGAAUUCAAAUUUGAAUCUCGUAAAAAAUUAUUAUACAUGACUAGUUAAACUUGAGAUUAAGAGUGCUGAUCUUGUUAUGGCAGUGACGAGAAUUUUUUAUCAAUUUUAUUAAUUUGGAUUAUUUAAAUAUUAAAUUUACAAAUAUAAUAUAUUGGCAUGUAAAUUUGUCAAUUUUGAGUCUUUUCAUCGCUAGGCAAAUUAUUGUGUUGUAAAGCCAUAAAAUGCUACAAUAGUGGUAAUUAGUAUAAUAAUAAUUGCUAAUUGUUUGUAUCAUUACACUCUUUUAUUAUUUUGUUUAAAUAUUAAUUUUAUAUAAUUUAAUGUAUUGAAAAAAUAUCUUUUUUAAUUAUCAUAGUUGAUUAGUUCACAAUACAUUCGGCUAAGAGAUGGGCGAUAACCUAUUUUUUAAAAAAAUUAGAAGCAAAUAAAAUUGUUUUAAAUUUUUUAUUAUUAAAUAAAUAUCUUGCGUUAAAGAAUUAUAACUAAUUCACUAUCCACUCCUAUAUCUUUUCCAAAAAAUAAAAUAUGAAGAAAUGACCAUGAUACCAAACGAGGUCAAAGUUUGUAAUAUUUUGUUUUUAUUUUAAAAUUACAUAUGAUAUUAUGAUGUGAUGGGCCAAGUCUGACUACUAUACUUUUAUGAGUAUAGAUUUUUUUUGUAUUCAUAAAUUUUCGGCCAUUAGAUGUAUCAUUUAGACUAUUUUCAUCCAUUAGAUCAUAUUAUUCAACCAAUCAUCCACUCAAAUUUAGGAAAUCACUAUUAUCCUAACUGUGAACCACUAUCAUCCUAAUCAUACAUCUCUUCAUCCAACGGUCGAAAACUUAUGAAUAUAAAGGGGUCUAUACUCAUAAGAGUAUAGUAGCCCUAGCCGGCCCAAAUAUUAAUUUAUUUAAUUCCCUUUUUUACUCAAACAAACAAUAUACUUUUUCUAGUUAAUCAAACCUUUAAACUAAGGCUUCUUCUGGAAUUGCGGGAUGAUUGCGUUACGUGUGGUUAUUAUAUAUUUUCUGCGAUCCCACCGAAAAAUGCAGAAGCAUAUUCAUAUAUACUUUUUUCCUAACUCCAUUUUAUCUAACAGCGUUAGAUAGAUCUCAAUACCAAACUAAGCCUAAAAGUAAGAUUACAUAAGUGAAUAUUUGAAUGGUCAUUAAUAGAUUUAGUUGUUAUAACUUCUUUUAUAUUCUAAUGACCAAUGUUAUUGUUAAUUAUUAGUAAUUGUUUGUGUUUUCUGUAGAAUUUAUUUUAAGUUGGAAUGCUUUUAGAUUUUGAUACCUUCUCCACUACAGUCCACAAAAUCUCCAACUCCAUUAGUUGCAGUGCAUCUAAUUAAAAGCUCGCCAACCAAAGGUUACAUUUAGGGCACGUUUGGUUCAGAUAGAAAUCGCAAUCGAAAUGAGAAUGAGAACGUGAAUGAAUCGAAAUCGGAAACAGAUUAAGAGGAAUCGGAAUGGGAAAAUCAUAUUCAAGUUGAUAUUCAAAAAAUUUAAAUUUACUACUCAAACCCGUAGUCAAAAUUUGAAUCUACAUUUAGACUCUCAACUUGAAUUUAAAAUUUGAAUAUAUCACUUAAAUUCAAGUUAAACUCAAAAUUCAAAUUUAAAGCUGAACUCAAAUAUCAACCUUAUAUUAGAAUUUAAAUUUAAACUUAGAAAAUUAAAAUUUUUGAAUUUUGAAUUCAAAUUAGUUAUAAGGUUAAAUAUAGAUUAAUUGUUGGUGAAGAAAAAAAAAGUAAUUAUUUUCUCAACACCUCUAAAAUGGGAAUUGAGGAGAUUCGAUUUCUAUGUCUGAAUGAGAGUCAGAAUAUAUAUCAAUCCUUCAAACCAAAUACUACUAAUAAUUACGAAUGAAUUAAUCUGAUUCUCAUCCCAAACCUCAAAUCCUUUAAACGGAACAUUCAAAUCAUACAUGUUGUUAGAGAAAUCAUUGAGACAACGUGGUCCACCAUGCUAAUCAUAGAUUCCUAAAAAAUAAACUAGAAUUUUAAUGUAAAGCAGUGAUCCCAAAAAAAGAUAUGGAACAUACAGCGCGCCGUAGGAUACAUAUAAAUAUAUAUGUAUCUAAUCAAUUCCAAGCCGUACAAGAAAACAUAAAAUAUCAGAUACAUCUAAUAUAUAUAGUGUUCUCUAUAACAUAUGAUUUAACAGUUUGAAAUUACGUAUUGUCAUGUCCUAUCCCACGUGCAUGGUAAUAGUCUAAUCAAGAAUAAUAUGAAAUUUAUUUAUCAAAUUAAAGUUCAGACCAAAUAGAACCGAAAUUGUACGAUAUGUAAAAAAAGAGUGUGUAUAUAUAUGUAUGUAUAUAUAUAUAUAUACCAUUAAGCUGAGGCCGGUGACGAAGAGGAAGCUGGUGGCGACGGCGGUGCCGGAGAAGACGCGCUGGCCGAGGCGGCCGACGAACAUGAGCGAGAUGGCCUGCCGGCUGAAGCUGAGCAGGUUGGCUACCACCACCGGCACGGCCACCUUCAGCUGCUUCUUUGCCUCUUCCACCACCCCCCUCUCUCCCUCUCCUUCCAUUUUUAUUUCUCUUCACUUUGUUGGUGUGCCCCUCGCUCUCUAAUAUAAAAAAGGGGACAAAACUUGAGUGGAGAGCUCCUCAACACCGUCUCGUUGGGGAGUCCUUGAUUCGCUAUGAAGUAUUAGUUUCGUCUCAGUGCAAUGGUUUGUCGGAUGUUUUUUAAUAUUAAAAUUUAAAAAAUAAAAUUAAAUUUUUUAAAAAAGUAUAUAUAGUUUUUGAAUAAAGAUAAAAAUAAUACAGAACAACGAAUUUAGACUCUUUAACGAAACGUCAUUAGGAAUCACCCACUAAAGUUUUUUCCCAAAAACUGUGGAAAGCCAAAAAUUAUAUGGAAAAGGUGGGGGUAGGGAACAAACUUAUCUUUUAUCUUUUUCUUUUUUGGAUAAAGUGAACUACUAUCUAAUUCUUCUAAUUUUAGAAAUAAUCAUUUUUUUUUGUAAGAACUUAAAGUGUUUAGAAAAUAGUAUUUUAUUAUUUAUAUUCAACAUUCUCAUUUAUAUUUCGGCUGGAGCCUCUUCGAUAGGCCGAAGACGAUGACUUCGAAAGUUAAUAGAAAAAAAUUAAGUGAGAGUAGAAAUCUGAUGGUUCAAACUUAAAAUCUUCUUUUCUGAUAUUGUGUUAAAUUACGUAAAACAAUUAUUUUUCUUCAAAAUUUUAAGCCAUCAGAAAAAGAACGUUUUUAAUAUUUAUAUUCAACAUAUUGCAAUACACGUAUGUCUUUUUCGCUCGUAGUACGUAGAAUUCUAUUACAUAAUUUUGAUCGAGUGAGUAUCGCUCAUAGUAUUAACGUUUAUGCUAUUUAUCUAUAAAAUUAUAACUUCAUUUCGAUGCAGAACUACCUAAUUAGUGUCAUAUAUACUUUUCCUCCUCAAAUAAUUUUUCUUUUUAAUUUAUUAAGAAGUGCUUAUGUAUGCUUUUGUCUUAAUUAAUUGAAGGUGCAAUUAUAAUCCUUCCAGAAUAAAUUGCACUUUUUGGUCCUCAAACUGUGAGGCAGGUGACACUUUGGUCUUCAAACUUUUAUUUAUCAUAAUUUCUGGUUCAAACUUUUCAAAUUAUUUAACUAAAUUUUAACGCAUCGGUGAUGUAAAAGCAAUAUGACAUCUCAAUUAUUACGUAUUAUCGGUUAUAACACUACCACUUUACCUCUACAUUAGUAAUAUAUCAAUAAUUAGUUAACUAAAUUGUGUUAUACAAUUUAAUUGCAAAAAUUUUAAAAGUUCGAGCGAAAAAUUAUGAUAUAUUGAAGUUUGGGCACCAAAAUGUUACAGUCUUAUAGUUUGAGGACCAAAUGUGCAAUUUAUCCUCUUUCCACUUGGUGCCCUUCUAUGGUGGGGGAGCUCUCCAUUUCCACCUGCACGAACUAAAAGAUUUGUAUGUAGUGGCAUUUCUUUACAAUUUUUUUUUUCGGGGUUUUUUCGCAAAUAGCCCCCUGACAAAUUUUAUUUGCAAAAAUAGCCCUGUCUAAAAUUUAUUUACAAAAAUGGCCCUGGCCCUGCCACGCCAGCGCCACGUCAGCGCCACGCGGGCAGGGUCUGGGCCAGGUAGUCAAGUUGAACACGGUGAUUGGUUCACCGUGUCUAAACACGGUGAACCAAUCACCGUGUUCAUUGUGUUAAAAAAAUCACACCCCGCCCGGGGCGUUACUAUUGCAUUAGACACGGUGAUUCGUUCACCGUGUCUAGACACGGUGAUUCGUUCACCGCGUCUAGACACGGUGAACAAUUUACCGUGUCCUUCACUUCCAUUUUUGGCCAAACACGGCCUGGCUACUUGUAUUGGUCACGGACUUAACCAUUUUCGGGGGUGCUGAAUACAUUUGUAUUGGACACGGUGAACCACUCACCGUGUCCAGAGAUUUGUAUUGGACACGGUGAAUGGAUCACCGUGUCCAAUAGAUUUGUAUUGGACACGGUGAAUGGAUCACCGUGUCCAAUACAACUGCCCACCCAACUAAAAAUUUGCCGCAGAAAAAUCAAUUACAAGAUUCAAUACAAGAAUACAAUACAGAUACCUAUCAAUACACAUCACAACACAUCACAACAUCACAAAAGUAAUACACAUCACAACAUCACAAAAUUAAUACACAUUACAACAUCACAACCAAUAGAAUCUCAAUAAUAUAAUCAAUACCAAAUAAUCAAAACAGAAUAUACAAAAUAAAUGCAAGUUAUACAAUAAUAUAUAAAUAUAAUAUCAUGUUCUCCUCCCUCGACCUCCUCGACCACGUCGCCUACCACGUCCGCGACCACGACCAACAUCAUGCUCAUCAAAAGGCUCCAAGAUCUCCAACUGGUCUAGAUGCUCUAUAGCAGCACCCUCAAUAACCGGCUCAAUCACAGCAGUAGCAUGUGCCGGUAGUAUGUCUGGCCGUGGAGGAGCUGAAGAGGAGGGCUGAUCUGGCCGUGGAGGAGCUGAAGAGGAGGGCUGAUCUGUACGGAUAGACCUCGAUCGCCGUCGACGCCUAAAAUAAACAAUAUCACCUGCUCGAGCUGGAUCCUGCGGUACUGGUGCUGGUGCCGGGUCCGUAACAUCAGCAUAAGGUGGCUCCCCUAUCGGUGAUGAUGGCAUCGGUGGACUAUAUACGGGUGCAUGGCCGGACGUCGAUGCUCCACCAUAGUCUGCUGGUCCUGGAGGUACAUAGUGUGGAAGCGUAGGUAAAGUCUCCAGAACUGCCUCCAUCUGAUCGGCGACCUGUGAUAGGGUAGCUAAGACUCCACCUCCUGAAAUAUCGGAUUGGACACGUCUGAUCGUAUAAUGUGAUCUCUGCACGAUAUCAACCUGAAAUAAAAGCACAAUCAAAAAAGAUUAUACGAAACUUUCUUGUAUAUAUAAAAAUUAAUAUAAAAAGAUAUUUGCAAUUACAUUCAUACCAAUACUCUCUCGACGUGUCCACGUGGCUGAUAGGCAAGUGGUGGCCGCUGUACAGGUCUAGAUAUCCACCUCCUGGUGAUCGUCCAAUACCACUGCAUGUAAACAGUGGUAUCUCGUAUCGAAUCUGGAUCUGUCCCAGGGGCCACCUCUGCUAUCUACUAAUCUAUCAUUCCAACGCUCAAUGUAUGAGGCGUGGUAUGCCGCCCAAUCCUCAUCUGCUCUGCCUCGUGAAUUGAUGCGAGGUAUGGCAAGCACAGGUUCAGGUAUAUGCUGUAGUAGCCCAAACUGGCGAAGCACACGAUCGGGAUGAUGGAGCUCAAUAAUGUGGAAGCAGACUAAGGUAGUCGUCGAUCGGGCUUGGUCCAUUCACGAUGAGUACAUGAUGGAUCUUCAUUUUGAUAAGGAGGGAUAGUAUUUCUUACUGGCCAAGCCGACCAUUGAUGAAUACUAGAUUGUCCUGGACCUUCAUCUACAUAAGGAGUGUUAGUAUUUCUUACUUCCCAAGCCGGCCAUUCAUGAACACUAGAUGAUCCUGGACCUUCAUCUACAUAGGGAGGGUUAGUAUUUCUUUCUUCCCAAGCCGGCCAUUCAUGAACACUAGAUGAUUCUGGCCCUUCAUCUACAUAGGGAGGGUUAGUAUUUCUUUCUUCCCAAGCCGGCCAUUGAUGAACACUACAUGAUGGACCUUCAUUUUGAUAAGGAGGAAUAGUGGUUCUGACUUCCCAAUCCGUCCAUUCGUGAACAUAAGAUGAUGGUCGUGGGCUUUGAUAAGGAGGGACAGUAGACCUGUAGAGAUAUAUAAGAUUAACUAUCCACAUUGAUUUUUUACGUAACUAAAUCAUACAAUCACCUACCACUCAUUUUGAUCAACCAACGGAGACGGAUCCAUCACAGCAGAUGGCAAUGCUGCACUAACUGGCUGAGAUGGAACUCCAAACUCUCUGAAACACUUACAAGACAAAGUUAUUAAUUUCGCGCACCUAAACUAAUUAAGAAAUCACGAAAAAGAUUUAUAAAGAUCAUUACUUUAUACCUUGAUGUACGACCUCGUUCGCGAUUGACGUAAUUCCUUUGAUCAUUGCGGGUACGACACAUUUUCGUUUGAUAAACGGUAUUUGGACGGUCGUGUGCCGUCGACCCAUCUUUCUCCACGUAUAAUUUUAUACAUCCAUGGAACGGAAAUAUACUUAUCACGCCAGAUAGUGUAUUGUCAUUUGAUACGUUAACAAAUUCCCAUUCGCCUCCCAUUGGACAUUUCACCGUGAUGCGUAGACGGUCUUCCACUCGAUCAUAAUUAGUAACAUUGUAUAUUUCCAUCUCUAAAUCCCGAAAUGAGAUAUUGCGUCGGACCGCAACCAAUUCUUUACGGCCACCAAUAUAUCGUGGUACAUUAUUGUUCUCGACAAAAUUUCCGUCCCAAUGGAUAUAGAAAGGAACAAUGUCGCCAGAUAUAGAGUUCUAAAGUUAUAUAUUAACAUGUAAAAAAUUAUUAAACUCAAGACAUAUCACAUUUCUAACAUACAACAAAAGAGAGGGUAAAAAGAUGGUAUUACCAUUGUACAAGCACGGUCGGCGGGCGCGACUACUUUGCCAAUUAAGAACGCAAAAAUAACCUUUGACAAAGAGACAGACAACAAUAAGUGAAAGAGGAGGGUGUGGGGGGUUGCAGAGAGUUUGAGUGGGGGGAGGGGCAGUGGGGGGAGGGGGGGAUUCUCACUGUGAGAAGCCUCAAACCCCCCGUGCCUUACAGUGGCUUCUCACUGUGAGAAGCCCCCCCGCGCCUCACAGUGAGAAGCCUCACAGUGGCUUCUCACUGUGAGGGGGGGGGGGCAUUCUCAGAGUGAGGGAUUCUCACUGUGAGCGCUUCUCACUGUGAGAAGCCAAUGUGAGGGACUUCUCACAGUGAGAAGCUUCUCACAGUGAGGGACUGUGAGGGGGCUUCUCACAGUGAGAAGCCCUUCUCNGGAGACACCGGGUGUGGCGGCGGCGGCCGCUGCGGCGGCGGCGGGAAUGGGCGGAGACACUCCGAAGAGUGUCACUCUUCCCGAAGAGUGACACUCUUCGGGGGAGUGUCAGGGAGUGACACUCUUCGAAGAGUGACACUCUUCAGGGGAGUGAGAGAGAGAGAGAGAGAGAGAGAGAGAGAGAGAGAAGCUUCUAGGGCUAGGGAGAACGAGGAAUGAAGCUACCUCAGGCAACAAAGGGCGGCGGCGGCGGCGGCGUCGGCGGCGUCGGCCAGAGAGAGAGAGAGCAAGAGGAAGAAAGCGAGAGAGAGAGAGAUCGAGAGAGAGGGAGAGAUCGAGAUAGAGUUCGGGGGGGGGAGUGUAUUCAAAGAGAACACGGUGAAUGGUUCACCAUGUCCAGGACACGGUGAUCCAUUCACCGUGUCCAAUACAAAUCUCUGGACACGGUGAGUGGUUCACCGUGUCCAAUACAAAUGUAUUCAGCAACCCCGAAAAUGGUUAAGUCCGUGUCCAAUACAAGUAGCCAGGCCGUGUUUGGCCAAAAAUGGAAGUGAAGGACACGGUAAAUGGUUCACCGUGUCUAAAUGCAAAAAAAAGACACGGUGAACGAAUCACCGUGUCUAAUGCAAUGGGCGAGGUGGGAGAACUCAAAGAACACGGUGAUUAGUUCACCGUGUUUAGACACGGUGAACGAAUCACCGUGUUCAACUUGAAUACCUGGCCCAGACCCUGCCCGCGUGGCGCUGACGUGGCGCUGGCGUGGCAGGGCCAGGGCCAUUUUUGCAAAUAAAUUUUACACAGGGCUAGUUUUGCAAAUAAAAUUUGUCAGGGGGCUAUUUGCAAAAAAAGCCCUUUUUUUUCCUUUCACUUUCUUUUUUAAGUGGGAUAUGUACCUUUUUUUUCUAGGAGAAAUUGCUCAUACAUUUCAGAAAAAAAUUUCAACUUUUUUAUUUAUCACUCUUAAAAAGCUAGUAUUUAUAAUUUCUCUUAAAAAGCUAAUAUUUAUAAUAUCUUUUUAACGUCCCAAAAUCUUUCAAAUAUAUUCCUAGAGUUAAAUUUUGUUUAGUAAACGAUUAGGAACAGUCGUUAGCUUUGUAAAAUUAUCAUUUUGUCCUUUCAAAUAUGUCAUUUUAUUGUCAUCAACUUUUUUUAUUUGCCUUUAAUUUAGGAACAAAGUAAGUAUUUUGACUUUUUACGUUUUCAAAUAUACCUUUUUACAGUCACAAUUUUUUCUUAUUUGCUUUUAAGUUGGGGUUAUGGUAAAAAUUUAACUCAGAUUUAAUCCGAGAUAAUUGAACGAGCCCUAAUAACAUGUAUAUUUUUGAAUAACGAAGAACAUAUAAAAAAUAUAUUUGAAACAAAAAAAUAAAAAUAAAUAAAAUAUUUGAGAAGUUCUGUAGGGUAUAUAGAUAAUUAUCUCUAUUUUUUUUAGCCCUUUUUAACCCGUCUUUAGUUAAAAAGGAUCAAGAUACUUUUUUUUUUUUGUUUUUUUGAUAGAUGACAUUAUAAAACCAUUUCAGUUCUAACCAAAAAGAAAAAUAAAAAAAGCGCUAGUCCCGAACUAGUAAAUGAUGAUUUUUGUUGAAACGGUUGACAGAAAUAAAUUUAAACUAAUCAAAAAUAUCGGAUUACUUAUCAACAAUUUUGUCACAAGAGACAAAAUCAUCAUUCUUGGGUAAAAUUUUUUUUCACCAGUCACAUGAUGUGACUCGUAAAUUACACCCUACAUAAGGAUGGGUGGGCUUGUAAGAUAUACAUCCUUCUUAGGGUAUACCAUUAAUAUUUUCUAUUUUUUACCAUGAUACAUUAUCAAUAAUUUAAAAAUCGGGUUUAACACACCGAUUCGACAGAUCCGAUCGUGACAUCAGUUUAUAAAGUGAUUUAGUUCAAUUUUUUAAAAGAAUAAGUUAAAAAAAUACUUUGAACGUUUCAAGCCAUUGAACUGGUGAACCGAUCGAUUUUAAUCAAAUCAGCCAAACUUUUUUUUAUCAAGUCAUGUUAAAUUCUAACGACUUUAAAUUAAAUUAGCUGAUUUUAUUUCUAUUAGCAACAAAUUAAUCUUAUAUAAAGUGAAACUUGAAUAUUAUAUAUAUAUACGUAAUUUGGUUUAAAAAUUAAUAUUUUAUAAUUAAAUAUGAUACUAAAACAAAAAUAUAUGUAUAUUAUUUUAUAAUAUAAUUCAACAUUUAAAAUAAUAAUUAAAUAUUUAUAGCGUAAUGCUGAUGUCACUGAUUCAACCAGUAAUGAAUUCGCUCAUUGAACCAGCGACCCUUGACCCACUAAUAUUUGUCAUUUGCUAUGCGAUUCAAUUUUUAAAACAUUGCAUAACAUAUUUCUUUUGAGAGAUAGAUAGCAGCUAGGGGUGGAAACGAGCCGAGCUCGAGCGAGCUUAUGUCAGCUCAAAUUCGGCUUGAAAUUAAUUUCGAGCCUAAAUCUAGGCUCAAGCUCGGCUUGAAAUUAAUUCGAGCCGAGCUCGAGCGAGCCUAAUUUCGAGUCGAGCCGAGCUCGAGCUCUAACGAGCGAUUGAAAUUCUCGAAUUAUAUAAUCAAUAGUUUGAAUUUUUAUAGAAUUACCUACAUUUGAUGCAACAUGUCAAUAGUUCAAAAUACAAAAUAAUUGAAGAAAUUAUCAGUCAGGGUGAUCUGCCCUGACGGGUGAGGCGUUCAAAGAGAGAGAGAGAGGAGAGAGAAGAUCGAGAAGGGUCCGCGUGAGAGGAGAGAGAGAGAGAGGGGGGGGGAUUAGGAAAUUUGAGAAGUUGAAUGUUAUAUGUUUUAGGGUUAUGUUGGCAAAGUGAAAAUCUGAAGACGGAGUGUGUUAUGUUAAUUUUAGGUUGGGGCUCAUUUGCACGGUCCUGUACUUUGUUAGGUAUUAUUUUAGGGCCAACAAUAAUAGCCAAAUUAAAUUAAAGCUUAACAUAUAAUUAAAAUACAUUAUAGUAUAUAGUAAUAUAAUUAUAUAUAUUAUAUAUAUAUAUAUAUAUAUAUAUAAUAUAUAUAAUAUAUAUAUCUCUUAUAGUAUUCUAUAGUACCGAGCUCCGGCUACUAUAGUGUUGGUUUUCGAAUUUGGGCGUUCAAUAUCACGCAUCCACGACCGUUAAAUAUGAUCGUAGGGUAUACUGAAUUUCUUAAGAAUAAAUUUAGUUUUUUUCUGAUAUCGUUUACUAGUAAAUAAUUAUAAUCUAAAAUGACGGAAUGGAAAUUUGAAUAAUCUUUAAAUUGAGCAUAGGACUUUUAAAUUCAAGAUCAAGAAUGUUACCUUAUUUAACAUAGUUAAAGAUAUUUUCUAUUCAAAAAUUUGAAAAAAUUUAGUUUUCUACACUGCUGGUUUAAAUCCAACUCGUAUAUAGCCAUUGAAAUGAUAUUUGAAAUAGUUUGAUUGCAUGAAAAUAUAACUAAUGUCGAAAAAAUUAUAAAUUUUAUUCGAGAAACUUCCUUAAAUAACCAAAGAUCAGUUUUAACGUUGUUGGCAUCGUUGAUUGUGAGAACGCUUAAGAUCGAAAACCAACACAUAUAGUACCGGAGCUGGAUCUAUAGAUAGUAAUAGUCAUAGUCAGCUCUCUCUUCUCCUCUUCUCUCUCUCUCUCUCUCUCUCUAAUUAUAUAUAUUAAUAUAUAUAUAUAUUCGAGCUUUUCGAGCCUAAUUCGAACGAGCCGAGUAAUACUCAAGCUCGGCUUGAAAUGAAUUUCAAGCCUUUUAUUUUGUUCAAGCUCAGCUCAUUUAAUUUCGAGUCGAGCUCGAGCGAGCCGAAUAUCGAGCCGAACACGAGUCGAACGCGAGCCGGCUCGCUCGUUUGCCAGCCCUAAUAGCAGCUACCUGCUUCAUUUAUUUCGUUUAGAAAUAAACUUAGCUGGAAAUGUGAAUCAAUUAGGAUUCGAACUUGAGACUUCGGGUACCAACCACCAAGCCUUUUGCCACUUGUGUUAGGGACAGUCGAUAUAACAUAUGAUAUAUUAGUAUAAAUAUAUAAUGAGUGAAUGAGAAAAUUGUACCUCCAAAUUUAGUAGUGAGUUUGUUUUGCAACGGAAAACUAUACCAAACAGCUCUUUAAUGCAUGCCUUGAGACUAAAGUUAAAGAAUAUAGCAGUAUAUUCCCACAAGUUAAAGAAUGGAGUGAAAAUUUAGUAGAUUAGAAACCACAAUAAAAACAUUUCUCUCUUAUUUUUCUUCAGUAAAUCUUGGCAAAUUUCGCUUUGAAUCAUCCCCACUUUAUUGCUAUUUAUUAUACAAUCCAACAUAUUAAUGUAAGAUGAGCUCCAAGAAGAUAAUAAACUCAGUGCUUCAGCCAACAUAUGUACCUAGCUCAUUUACCAAAUUAAUGAUAAGGGUUAAAUUUAUUUUGUAUUCAUUGAGGCAUUUAUCUUUAAUUAUCUCACACCAACUAAAUUUUGGUACAAAUAUCAUAUCCUCAUAUCUGUGGCAAUAGUAGAGCUAAAUAUCCUAUCCUUUGCCUUCCUUCCCUGUAGAUAAUGUAGGAAAAAAUAAUAUGUUAUAUAUCUUAAUAAUCAAUCCAAAUAUUGAUGCAAAUAUAUAUUUCAUUAUGGUGUAAAUCAACUUCCAGGGUAGCUAACUUUGCCAUCAAAAGUUGUGCAAAUCUUGCAAUUUAGAUAAAACCAAAAAUUAAAACAAUUAAAAGUUGUGUUCCAAUUAACUAUGAGUCACGUACGUACGUGACGCUUUGAUUCCCAAAUUUUAAUUUGUUAAAAUUUUAAAUUCAAACUUUCUAAAUGGUUGCAAACAAGUGGAACCAUAGUUUAAUUUAGUAAACUAAAUAUUGAUGUGUUGUUACUUAUUAAUUAAUAUAGUUGUGAUUAUUGAUGACACCUCAAUAAUUAAAAUGACGUAUUAAUUUCACGUAAGUGAUACGUUAGUAUUUAGUUUUGUGUAACUGAAUUAUAAUAGGUUAAAAGUUUUGAGAUAUAAAUUAUAAUAAAUUAAGAUUUGAGUAUCAAAAUGUAACAAGUUUCAUAGUGUGAGGACCAAAAAUGUAAUUUAGUUAAAAAUGCAAACAUAUUUGUACCUAACAUUUAGCUUGAUUCUUUCUUCCAUAAAAGAAGAGGAUCUAUGAGAAUUGACCAUAACCAAGAGUAGUACUAAGGAAGUGCACCAAACAUCACAUCCAACCAUAGAAAAUUAUUAUUUUAAAAAUCAAAGAAACAAAAUUAAAAUAAAAAACAAAUAAUUAAGGCUCUUUUGUGUUUUGGUAAAAACGAAUGGAACUUAAUUGAACUAUGUAUUUUUAAUUUGACUAUUUAAUUUUUUAAAUUUUAAUUUAUUAUCUAAUUUUUCAAUCUGUUUGAUUUACGUCAGCACUUUGAUUCUAAAAUUUAAGCUAAUUACUUAAUUUAAUGAACUUAUAAUUAUUAGAAUUGUAUUAAAUGUAGUAACUAAAUAUGUGGAGAUAAAUGAGCAUUCGAAUUUUGAAGGCAAAGUGCCGUCGUUGACUGACUCAAAUCGAACAAAUUAAAAAAUUAGAUAGUAAAAUCAAAAUUUUGAAAGGCUGGACGAUCAAAUUCAAAUGUAAAUUCAAAAUUUUUGCAUUGUGUUUUUGGUGGAAUGUUUACCUCAUUUUCCCAGUCAGUGUAUAGGAUAAUAGUUAAAAACACCAACACUUGCAAGAAGGUGCCACAUAUGAUUCCCAUCCAAAGACCCUGCUCAUCACCAAGUGAGAUUUUAGUGAUCACACAAAUCAUUAGACAAAAUGGUCAAUUACAAUAGUUGUCUUAGAUCUUCAUGUGAGUUUUUGUUCUAAUUUUCAACAUUGUUGUUUUUAUAAUCCUAUUAAAUCUGUUAAUUUCGAUAAAAAUUGUCAUACCAGAAUCAAAUCAUAUUAAUUUGGUGCGUCACCGCCAAUAUAUUAGAACUUUCCAUGUGACAAAUUUUAUCUGAUUGAUUGAAAAGAUUAGUAAAUAUUAAAAUCUUAGUUAAAACAAUUUAAGAAAUUAAAGCAGAACAAAUUAAGAAAUUAACUAAAGAUAAAAAGUAAAAAUUAAAAGGGGAAUAAGGAAAACUACCUUUCCACCAAAAUGAAGAGCAAAUGCUAAUACAACAGCUGUAGGAAUACCCACAAUGUAAUAAGUUCCAAGAUUAACAAAAGCACCAAUCUUUUGCCAACCACAUCCUCUAGCAACCCCUACAUUUCAUGAAUAGUUAACACCAACUAUGGUUAUCAAAUAAAUUGAACAAAACAAAAUAAUCUUACAUACGCAUGCAGUAACACAACUUUACACUACUACACUCAACCAAACGGAGUAAUACGGUACUAGUAAUAAUCUGAAUUACGGAUGUUAUAUUACUAAUUAUGUUCAAAAAAUCAGUAAUGUCAAAUAAUACGAACCAAACGGGCCCUAGGAGUAAAAUAGCAUGGAUGUUAUAUUACUAAUUAUGUUCAAAUAACCAGUAAUGUCAAAUAAUGCGAACCAAACGGGUCCUAGGAGUAAAAUAGCAUGACACCUAUUUGGAUUUUGGCAUGUUUGAUUCCAUUCGUCUAACAAACUUUUAAAAGUUUUAUUUUUAGUUUAUGACAUUUCCAUUUGUUUGAUUUGAGCCAUUUGGUGGUUUUUCAAUUACAAUAUCAUUACAUACCUCUUUCUUGAAUUAAUGAGAGGUAACUUAAUUAUCAAGCCGUUUUAAAUAAAUGACUCACAUCCAAAUUUUGAAGUGAAAGAGCCAACAAAUUGCUCUAAUCAAAUAAAAUAAAUGUAAUGUAUAUACCAAUUAAAAUGAAGAAUUGUAUAAGUUAGAUAGUUAAUUUGAUCAAAUAAGUCAUCGUUCAGAUAAGUUUCAUGUAUUUAUGUUGCCAUCUAAUUUUCAUGAUUUCAAGUAUAUAUUCAACUGCACAUAAUAGUAGAGUAAAAGGAAAUGAAAAUAAUAAGUUAGGAAAUUUUUUUACCUGAUAACACAGCUUGAAUUGCAUCCAAAACAAUGGAUAUUGCAAGAAUUGGCAACAUAAUUGCCAUGUAAUUCACAACUUCUUCUUCAUUGCUAUAUGCAUAACCCCAAAUUUUGCGCAACAAAAUCAGGAUCAGUCCCACUAUUAAGCCUUCUAUAAGGGCUAAGAAUAAACCUACAUAUACAGUGAUCUGUGCCGCAUCAUGCCGCCCAGCACCGAGUUCAUUUGAAACACGCGUACUAAAAAGAAGAGAAAAUAAAUAAAUUAAAAUUGAUUUUAAAGAAACAAGGAUCGAUAGAGCGAGAAAAAUCAGAAAUUUAGAGCAUUGCGUACGUAGCUACCUUACUGCGGCACCAAGACCAAAAGGGAGCAUAAAUACCAUGGAAGAAGAGUUAAGGCUGAGGAAACAAAAUGCAUUUGGCUUUAGACAAGAUAAUGAGAAACUAAAAUUGGCAGUUUUUGUCUCUUUUAAACUAAAUAAAGGUAAAAACAAGAACAAUUCCAAAAAUUCAAGCAACAUUUGCUUAUAUAUAUAUACACACACACCCCAUCCCUAUCCUUAAUGUCUUUCACUAAGAUUGAAGCCCUGAUUCUAGAAAUAAGAGGAAAACAAAAGAGGUUCAAGAUCCGUACAAGAGCAUUUGUGCUUGUAAUUUUUUAGACGUCAAAUCGCAUCAAGAUCCAUACAGCACUAUUACCGAUGUGUCCCAUUAAAUCUCCUAUUAGUAUUGUACGGAUUUUAAGACGAUCCGAUGGCUAAAAACUUAUAAGCAUAUAUUUUGAGCUUCUGAACUUUUAAAAGAAUAAGAGCUCAACUCUCUCUCUCUCUUUCUAUAUAUAUAUAUAUAUAUAUAUAUAUAUAUAUAUAUAUAAUANAAGAACCGCUAUAAUUCCAAUUGUACAUUUCUUAGUCCAAAGAUCGAAAACUUAUUUGUACUUUCAAAGGUAUAAGAGCUCAACUCUCUCUCUCUCUUUCUAUAUAUAUAUAUAUAUAUAUAUAUAUAUAUAUAUAUAUAAUAGUUGUUCUAACCUUAUUGAUAACACAGAUGUCUCCAGCUGUGGAUUUGGAAGAAGACCAGAAAGAAGCACAAGAACUUCGAAUGCCGACCAUUCCAUGCUGUAUCAAGAAACACUUCAUCAUGAAAAUACUAAUCCACCAUUAUUUAAUUAUUGUGCUUAAUUUUAGGCUAAACUGCGGCAAUUAUCCUCGAAUAAUAAGUCGAUUAAUCUUGGUAACGUCUCGAACUAAUUUUAAACUUGCUAUGUUCUGAUUCAAACUCUUUUUUUGAGACUUUUUUAAUGAAUGACGUAGCGUUGAUACGACAAUAAUGUGAGUUUCAAAUUGCUAUCACAUAAUAAUGUGAGUUUCAAAUUGCUAUCACAUCAUUUAUUGCUAUUAUUAUAUAGCUCAUUGUUCAAUUGCUAAAAGAGAUGGAAACAAAAAGGAAAUAUAUUAUUAUUGUUUGCAUUAGAUCGGUAUAAAAAAAUAUAUUUUAGACGACGCUUUUUAGAUGACUCUCUAUUCUACCAUAUUUAAUAUUUGAUAUGUGCCGACAUCAUGAUUAAGCACCACCAAUUAUCAAGAGUCUGCCUACUAUACUCUUAUGAGUAUAGUUAUACUCUUAUGAGUAUAGUUCUUUUUGUACUCAUAAGAUUUUUGCCGCUAGAUCUACUUUUUUGAUCAUUUCUACCCGUUAGAUCAUACUAUUCAACCAAUCACCCACUCAACCCUAGGAAACCACUAUUAACUUAACCGGAAACCACUAUCAUUCUAACUGCACAUCUCUUCAUCUAAUGGUCAAAAACUUAUGAGUACAAAGUGGGCUAUACUCAUAAGAGUAUAGUAGCCCUAGCCUUUUUAUCAAAUACUGAUAAAAAUUUUCCGACGCUAUAUUAAAGUAUCGAUAUAUUUAUCCCGACAUGUUGUUUAACAAUUCUUUACUCGACGCUUUUACAAGCGUCGAAAUUGUUCUUGCCGACGCUUUUAAAAUAUCGCUAGUUAUUAUUUAAAGUGUCCUAAAAUAUAAAAUUUAUUAUAGUGUGUACGCUACAAGAUCAUCCAUUUAUACAUCAAAAAAUCACAAUUGAAUGCAUAUAAUUGUGCCCAGCGCAAAUAAUAAUUCGCCCAUGUUUCUAUAUUUUCCCUCUUAAAUACAAACACGACACUAAUGUAAUACUGAUAUUAUUGCAUUAUUAUCAUAGUGUUUUAUACAAUAAUUGAAAUAUCGUGUCAAUGUCAAUGUCGCGUGUGCGCAUGUGUAUAUAUAUAUCAGUUGUCACAUCAAUAUCUCGUCGUGGAGAAACCUGAUUUUCAUAUAAAACUAUAACGAAAUAAGCUGCGAGGAUCAAAGUGUCACUCGGUGCCUCCAAUUUUAGGAAUUGAGAGUGCGACGUUAACAUAAAUUCGAGAUCACGUAUAAAUAUAUAGAUAUAUAUAUAUAUAUAUAUAUAUAUAUAUAUAUAUAUGCAUAAAAUUUUCUUACCAAACCAUCGUAGCCGAGGGAACGGCGAGUUUGAUGAAGCCGAGAACAUCUCUCAGAGCCUCUCUGGAGAAGCCAUUCCAAGUUCUCUCGCAAUUUUUGGAAACUCUAACAUAACAGGCCAAAAUUAACACAUAAACCCAAUAAGAUAUGCUAUUUCCAAAAGCGGCCCCUGCGAUUCCGAGCUCCAAACCAUGCACCAAAAUAUAACACGCUCCGACGUGGACCAGGACCGUGAGCCCGGCGCACAGCAUGAUGGGAAACACGGCGUUUUGCGCUUGCAUGAAUCUGACGUGGCACUGGAGGAGUCCGUAUGCGAACAGGGAGGGGAUCAUGCAGCGUGCGUAUCUCCCCGCCUCGGUUGCUAUUUCCGGGCGCUGUCCGCAUAGAACGAGGAUCUGCGACGUGUGGGCCCAUAGAAACGCGAGCGGUACGCAUGCGAGCGUGAUCACGAGCAUCGCUCGUUGCUUGUGGAUUCCGAGCAUGUAGUACUGCUUCGCUCCGUACGACUGCCCGCAUAAUGUGUCCAGUGCGCUUCCCAUUCCCAUCUGCUCAAAGCGCCCAGCAAUAUAAAAAAUUUUUCGUAUUAACUAUCCAUUUCUUUAGACUUAAUUUAGAAUACUUUAAAUAGUUAAUAUUUUUUUUAUAAUUUUUUUGAUUUUAUUUAUAUAAUAUAAUUCUUUUUAUAUAGUAAUAUUAUUGGUAAAAUUAAUGACGUACUAGGGUCAAAUUGUGAGUCCAUACACCCUGUUAGAUCCGAUCAAAUUAAUCCUCGACAGCCAUCUACAUCGGCGAGCGCAUUUCACACUGGCUCGGUGAGUUGUUGGAGGACACGUUGCUGAGGAGGAGGACAGUAGGCCCGCCAUUCCACACAGCAAAGGAGAAAAGGUUGGGAUCGAUCAUACAAACAAACCCCGCCAUGCCAAGGCGGAGAUAGCGAUAUGCCCAAUCCGCAACCGUCUUGGCAAACACAGGAGUAACGGAGGCUGGCCAUGGCUGAAAAGAUGCCCCUAACUGGGUAGGUUCGCAUUGAUAUAUUAAUAUUAUUUCUUAUUAUCAAUAGUAUUCUAGCUUUAUUCUAUGUAUAAAGUUCACCUGAAAUGCUAUUAUUAAUUGGUAAAUAAAUAGUAUCUACUAUCAACUUUAAAUUUCUAUUAAUACAAUUCACUUAUUCCAGCUAAAUGCGACACAUCUGGAAGCUAAAAAAUUGAUAGCAACUACUAUUCCUUUANUGAUACGUUUUAAACCACAGGGUAGCAAAGUGAGAAUGCACGAAACCACAGGGGGGGUUUUUGAAGUUUUCCAAAAAAAAUUAUUAUUUUAUAUUUUUCAAAAUAUUAAUAAUAUUAUAAUUUUAUAAAAAAUAUUAGUUGGCGGGGCGGAUUCGGGGCGCCGGCGGGAGGCGGGUUACGAGGCGGGGCGGAUUAUGGGAUGUAUUUUUUAACCCGUCACGGAUUCGGGGCGGAAGGCGGGGCGGAUUUUUGCUAGUCGGGGCGGGUCUCCCGCCCCCAAAUCCGCCCCGUUUGCAUCCCUAGUCACAUCAAUAUCUCGUCAUGGAGAAACCUGAUUUUCAUAUAAAACUAUAACGAAAUAAGCUGCGAGGAUCAAAGUGUCACUCCGUGCCUCCAAUUUUAGGAGUUGAGACUUGAGAGUGCGACGUUAACAUAAAUUCAAGAUCACGUAUAAAUAUAUAGAUAUAUAUAUGCAUAAAAUUUUCUUACCAAACCAUCGUAGCCGAGGGAACGGCGAGUUUGAUGAAGCCGAGAACAUCUCUCAGAGCUUCUCUGGAGAAGCCAUUCCAAGUUCUCUCGCAAUUUUUGGAAACUCUAACAUAACAGGCCAAAAUUAGCACAUAAACCCAAUAAGAUAUGCUAUUUGCAAAAGCAGCCCCUUCGAUUCCGAGCUCCAAACCAUGCACCAAAACACAACACGCUCCGACGUGGACCAGGACCGUGAGCCCGGCGCACAGCAUGAUAGGAAACACGGCGUUUUGCGCUUGCAUGAAUCUGACGUGGCACUGGAGGAGUCCGUAUGCGAACAGGGAGGGGAUCAUGCAGCGUGCGUAUCUCCCCGCCUCGGUUGCUAUUUCCGGGCGCUGUCCGCAUAGAACGAGGAUCUGCGACGUGUGGGCCCAUAGAAACGCGAGCGGUACGCAUGCGAGCGUGAUCACGAGCAUCGCUCGUUGCUUGUGGAUUCCGAGCAUGUAGUACUGCUUCGCUCCGUACGACUGCCCGCAUAAUGUGUCCAGUGCGCUUCCCAUUCCCAUCUGCUCAAAGCGCCCAGCAAUAUAAAAAUUUUUUCGUAUUAACUAUCCAUUUCUUUAGACUUUUAAUUUAGAAUACUUUAAAUAGUUAAUAUUUUUUUUAUAAUUUUUUUGAUAUUAUUUAUAUAAUAAAAUUCUUUUUAUAUAGUAAUAUUAUUGGUAAGUAAAUUAAUUACGCACUAGGGUCAAAUUGUGAGUCCAUACACCCUGUUAGAUCCGAUCAAAUUAAUCCUCGAUAGCCAUCUACAUCGGCGGGCGCAUUUCACGCUGGCUCGGUGAGUUGUUGGAGGAGGACAGUAGGCCGCCAUUCCACACAGCAAAGGAGUAAAGGUUGGGAUCGAUCAUACAAACAAACCCCGCCGUGCCAAGGCGGAGAUAGCGAUAUGCCCAAUCCGCAACCGUCUUGGCAAACACAGGAGUAACGGAGGCUGGCCAUGGCUGAAAAGAUGCCCCUAACGGGGUAGGUUCGCAUUGAUAUAUUAAUAUUUUUUCUUAUUAUCAAUAGUAUUCUAGCUUUAUUCUAUGUAUAAAGUUCACCUGAAAUGCUAUUAUUAAUUGGUAAAUAAAUAGUAUCUACUAUCAACUUUAAAUUUCUAUUAAUACAAUUCACUUAUUCCAGCUAAAUGCAACACAUCUAGAAGCUAAAAAAUUGAUAGCAACUACUAUUCCUUUACUAGAGUUAGGCUAUUAUAUUUUGAAAGUAAGGAAAACUUUGUACUUUUUAGUUGUUUUUUGUAAUGAGACAUCUGAUUAUGUGAUCAGUUUCAUUAGACAUGAUUUAUAAUGUUAGAACUCUUUAGAAAUCAAAUUUUAUAAUUUUUUCACUUUGUUUUCCUAGUAAACAAGUAGCCUCAAAAUGAACGGAUAAAAUAAAAAUUAUAUAAAAAAAUAGUGAUAAAAAACUUAAAUUUUAAAUUAUAAGUAUUGAUAUUUCUCUUUAUGGUAAGUAAACUUUUAUUAAAAUUUUACCAAAUUUGCAUUUUUUUUUUAUACCAUUGAACUUACAAACAAACGUGGCACAUCAGUUAUUAUAAUACUCAUUUUUUAGACAUUUUGAUCACUUGGUAAAUUAUAUUGACAAAUUAUGAAAUUUGAUUUCUAAAUAGUUUUAAUAUUGUAGAUGAUUUGUUUUCGAUGAUAGAGCUUCCAAAUUGAUGAUCGGCACUGUUAAAUAAGAUCUAAACUAUUUAAACUAUCUGGAAAUCAAAUUUCACACAUUUUCGAUAUUGUUCUCUGUCCAUCAAGUGAACAGAAAAAUGAAUGGUUAGAAAUGAAUAUCCUUCAAAAAGUGAUGAUACAAUUUUUAUAUUUGAGAUCUAGAGUCUAGAUCUUAUUUAAAAUAGUUUAAAGAAUUUUUUAACAAAAAUUUAGUUGAUUUGAACUCUUCUAUACUGUUAAACGAGCAAACACACCAUAUCAGCCAUUAAAAUUAUAGAUUUUGUGACCCUUUGAUCGUUCAAUUAGUGAUGUCAAAAAAUCAUGAAAUUUGAUUUCUAGAUAAUUUAAAUGGUCUAGAUCAUGUUCAACGGUGCCGAUCGUCGAUUUGGAAGCUCUAUCAUCAAAAAUAAAUUGGUAGUAAACUGAGCAAUUUACUACCGAUAGUAGCCCAGUCAAACUCUAAUAAUUAGAUAAUUUAUCGAUAUAUAUAUGUUACUUGUCCUUAUACAUGUGCAACUUUAUUAUUUCUGCAAUGUGAACUAUUAUGUUGUUUAUCUGGUGAGGGCACCAAACCCAAAGGUGUCUCAUUAUGUCCCCAUUAAUACUGUAUGCAUGUGGCUUUAAAAACGAAGCUCUCUCUAUCUAGAUUCCUCUCAUCAAUUAAAACCAAGCUUUUACUCUAUAGGGUAAACUUCAAAUACCACCCAUGUAGUUUUAUACUUUUUUACUUUAAUAUUCUGUGGUUUAAAGUGUAUCAAGUUAGUACUCUGUGAUUUUAUUUUUUUCUUUUCGUCAGCUCCUCCGUUAAUAUUUUGUUAAAUUAUAUACAAAAAACUUCAGAUACUCCACCUAAGUUUAUCGAAUAUUCAUUUUAGUACCCUUUAGUUUUAAUUUUGUCACUGAUUUAACGAAAAAAAAAUUUAGGGGAAUGGAUAAUAAAAAGAGAAAAAUAAAAUCACAUGGUACUAAAUUAAUACACUUUAAACUACAAAGUAUUAAAGUGAAAAAGUGUGAAACCACAUGACAUAAAUGAUAUUUGAAGUUUUUCCUACUAUCUAUAAAUGAUUAAUCUAAAAAAAAAAGGCCUAAAUUGCAUUGCAUGUUGAUCUACUCUUGCGAAAAACCAAAUCACCAGUGGCUUAGUAGUAAGGUGUUAUAUAUAUGCAUACUUCAGGUUGUGGAUUUAGUUAAUUUGUAUAUGCUUCAAUUUAUAAGUUGUUAUUUUGACUUUGCGUUCAAUAUAAAUAAGUUUCGAGCAAGUUGGAAAUUAGCACUACAAAAAAAAACGGUGUAUAGUGACACUUUUAAAUAUCGAUAUAGGUAAAAAAAAGGUAUUACUGACUAAAUUAUCAACAUUUUUUAAAACUGUUGCUAUAUAUAUGUGGAGGGUCGUUAUAUGUAGGGCACCUUGAUGUUUAACACCCACUCCUCCAGCAACUUGUGGCGGAGGGACACGUGGUGAAAGUAGUCCUCUACGGUUCUUGCGAGAUCCUCGCAGCCGACUUCCAGUCGCCAGAACAGAUCCUCGCGGUUCUUGAGGUUGGUUGAAUAAAGGAAUUUUUUAUUUUUAAUUGGAUUUGGAUUUAUAUUUAGGUCUUAGUAAAUUUUUUAAAAAAGUUUUGACAUAAAUAUGACAUUUACACAAAAGUGCUCCAAAAAUGUGUUUCUAUAAUCUAAUUCUGUUGUAGUAAUGAUUCUGAAGAAAGAGAAACAAUAAAGAAAAAAAAAACUCAUGGAAAAAAAGCAGUAGACAUGCAGUUAAUUAAUUUAAAUUAUAUUAAACUUUAAUUUAUUGUAAUUGAUUUAUGAACUUUAAUUUUUAUUUCUAAUAGAUCCUUUCAUCGAUCAACUUGGAACAUAUUAAAGAACGCAAUUAAAUUGAUCAACUUCUAGUUCAGCGCCAUUGAAAUUUUUGGAGAUAUGAAACGACAACAAAAUUUGAAUGAAGCAUUACAAAGCGAUCGAUCUGAUUACGACAAAAAUUGAAGUCCAGUAAUGCUACAUGACGCGAAUCGAAACAUGCAUACCAAUAAGCUGAAACCGGUGACUGCGGUGAAAGAAGCGGCGGAGGCAGCGGCGGAGAGGGGGAGCUCACCAAGAUGACCAACAAACAUUAGAGAUAUCAUCUGGAUCAUGUUCUGCAUCAGGCUCCCCACAAUGAGAGGCCCUGCUAAGUACACCUGCUUCUUAACCUCACUUGUUAGCAAAACCUUGAAACCUUCUCUCUUAUUAUUAUCAUUAUUAUUACUAUUAGAGGUUGUGACUAGAGGUGCUUCUAAGCUACUUAUUGCCUUCUCCAUCUCUCUCUCUCUCGCUCUCUCUCUCUCUCUCUCUCUCGAGUUUAGAAUGUGGGACUGUGGAGCAAGAGAGAGAUACAAAGAGAGAGGAAGGUAGGUUCCAGGGAUAUGUAUGUGAAUAGUAAGACUAAAUAAUUAUUUCAAAAAUACGUACUGAUUAGACUUGGCAGUAUCAAUCCAUAGCCACCGAUAUCUAUAGAUUGUUCAUAAAUUUACGGAUAUAAAUGCUAGUUUUUUUAUCUAAAAAUUAUAAGUAAAUUAAAAUGGGCGAGUGCUCGUUAAAUUAUGGACAUUUUUGGUAACCUGCAGUUGCCCAUUGAUACCCGCAUAUAUAAUUUCAAAAAAAUAAAAAAAAUAAAAAAGUGAGUACUUUUUUGUUUUAUCAGUUUCUAGCACUAAAUUCUCCUAUUGUUAUUUUUUUUCUUUAUUAUUUAUUGUAUGUUGUGAUUUUGAAAUAAUAAAAUAAGUUUUUUUUAAAAAAAUAACAUAUAUGUUAUUUGUGUUUGAAAAGUAAAAGAGCAAAAAUGGAGGAAAAAAAAAAGUAUCUUGUGGCCCACCCGCAGGUGGGUAUGGGUAAGGGUGAUGACUAUCUAAAAAUUUGCAUAUAUGCCCGUAAAAUCCACGCUUAUAAUGACCGCUCCUGUGUUAUCUAACUCACCGGUUUGUCAGCCGGCUUUUUCUCUACCUAUUUUUCCGAGAUUGAUAAUCUCUCCUUUUCUUCAAAGUCUAAUGCUGAUAGAAAGAGUACAUUCAUCGAAUUUAAGGACACAGCCACAAUGCUCAUGGGCUUCAACUUGACUAAACCUAUCUGAAUGUUAGGUCUAUAAUUGGAUCUCUUCCCGUUAAAUCUAUUGUGGACCACAGGCCUCUCAACUUAUUAGUCUCUUGAGUUUAUUAUCACGAGAUAGGAAGUUGGAUCUAUUUUAGCCAAUAAUAAAUAGUCAACAAUGUUUAGAAGUUAUUGUAAAUAGAAUUGAUCUAAACUUUGAAUCAUUUUAAAUUGACUACCAAACCUUUCAAACUUUUAAUUUUAUUAUCCAACCUAUCAAUUUAUUUGAUUUGAGUCACUCAGUAGUUCUUUGACUUUAAAAGUUUGUAUAGUAAAUAUUGUCAAAUGUAACACAAUCUUUAGCACAGCUUAAUUGAGUAACACUUUUCAAAAAUUCUAACGCUAACUUAGCCAUCUAAACAACCUCGCCUCACCACAGCAAAAAAAAAGUGUAGAAUGCACGAUUUUUAUUGCUAAUAUGGUGUCUCCAACCAAUCAGAUAGCGCCCUUUUGGUUCACCCAUUCUAUCACGGUCUUUUCAGAAAAAUUAUUUUUGUUGUAUUUUUCUCUUAAAGAAAGAGAUGUGAUUGGCUUAAUUUAGAUGAUGUGGUGUGACUGCUACGUAGUAGACUUUCUCGAGACGGAGAGCCCAUCACUCCACUGUGCUUCUUGAACCUUUUAUUUGGACCAGUGAAAAGGAAAGAGCUAAUUAUUAGGGGUUUUCUAUAUUAUACACACAAUCUUAAAAAUUAAAGCUUUAUUAGCCUUUAAGAUUUAUUCCUUUACUAAAAGAAAGGAUAAUUUUGAUAGGAUUUUUUUUAGAAUUGUGACUAAUUCUCGGUACCAUAUAUUUUUUAGAUGGGUAAAUAAUUUUAAGACUAAUUUUAAGACUAUCUUUUAAUCUCUGUUUCCUGGGAAAUCGAUCUUCUGCUAUCAGAGAGUACAAAUUAAUGACUUUACAUAACAUCAUGGUGUGUCCUACACGUCCUAAUUAACAAAACAACUAGUUUAUCAUUGGUGGGUCGAUUAAUCCUCCUUCCCGUCCCACGUUGCUGGCCCGUACACGUUCGUAACGUAGAAAUUUUUCCCCGACUCGACGUGUGACAGAAGGACGGUAAUCGAAUAUUUUCUCACUAGGACGUCACGGCAAAUGUACAAGCGAGAGUUCCAACACGUGACGACGCCCCCGGUGGCACCAUCCGAUUCGAGAUAGACGUAUUUGUUAAGAAAGGAGCCACUUAUACUACGCAGAAAGGUGCGAGAAACAUGUUUCACUUUAGACUCUUGUAAUUAAGCACACUACCACAUUACAAAGCUUAGAAAGGACCUAGCGUUACGCUAGUUCCAACACGUGAUUAAUGCUAGUUUUUUUUUUUUUUUUUUCUUCGCCUGGUCCCUACUUCUGCGAUUUUUUCCGAGGCCAUGGUUGCCUCACUCCUGCGGCCUAAUUUAUCCAUUCAAUGAAUGAAGUAGAUAGCGUGCUACCUAUUCUCAAAAAAAAAAAAAAAAAAAAAAAAAACUAGUUCAACCAAGUAUCCACUCACAUCUACUUUCAAGAGCGAGCAUAGCAUUUCCUUUUCUUUCAAUUCAACUUGCAAAACACUUGAAUAGCGACAAAAAGGCUCAGCUAACCUUUCACAGCAUGUUUGGUUCAUCAUUGGAAUAGAAAUGUACGAUGGAAUUGGAUUACACUGGAAUAAAAAAAAAUAAAAUGAUGAAUCAUCCAAUAUUUCUGCAUGACAGAAGACUGCCACCAAAAUUUUAUUGAUUGAUAAGCAGAAGCAGAAAAGCAGAAAGCACUGCUCUUCCAGCAAUAUUUCUGCAUGAAAUCUCGACGCAGUUCGUAGUAGAUCCUCCUUGUUUCUGUUUCUGGGGUGGCCAACAUGGGUGUGAGAUGAGCUCCAAGAUGACCAAAUAACUGGGGCACCAUGAAACACAACUUAGAUUCGCAGGUCGCAGAUAUAUUUCGUGCUCAUGAUUGUUUACUCGUUAUCUGAUUUCGACUAGUUUCUGGCUCUAAAUCAUGUCGUCAUGUCGGUUGGGAUAGUGGUGCUAAAUACCCUAUCCUUCGCCUUCUUCGCCUGUCAAAUCACCAAACAAUAUCAGAUGUACAGGAAAAAAAAAUUAAAAAUAAUAGUAGCAUAAAUAGCUAAUACUAAAGCCUUUUAAUAACCUCAGCAAUGCUAAAUAUACAAACUUAGUUGAUAGAAAUAGUGAUUAUUGUCUUUGUGGGAAAAUAAAAUUAUCUUUGGCUCGCAAAAUAAGAUUAAUGCAAUGUUAAAAGAUAAUUUUGUUUCCAAUACCUCUUUAUCCCAGUUUGUGCAAAGGGUGAUGAUUAAAAGCAAAAACACUUGUAGAACAACGCCGCAUAUGAUUCCCAUCCAAAGCCCCUGUUCGUAGCCAUAUAUGUUUGAGACCGCAAAAGUUUAGUCGAAUGCAAUAUAUUGGCCGAAAUUUACGGAAAAGAUAGAAGAAAAUGAAAAUGAGGAACAAAUUUACCUUCCCUCCAACAUGAAAAACAAAUGCUAUUAGAAUGGCCGAAGGAAUUCCUACAAUGUAGUAAGCCCCAAGAUUCACAAAAGCGCCGAUCUUCUGCCAACCGCAUCCUCGCGCAACCCCUACAUGUUCAUGAAUCACCACCAAUUACAUGUAACCAUAGGGCCUAUAUGUGAGAAACCAAGUUUUCGAAGAAUGUGUAUGAUGUACGCGAUAAACAUAUAUAGUUAACUCUACAUGUAUUUUCCAUGAUUGUUUACCUGAAAGAACACUUUGAAUGCCGUCGAAGAAGUUGGAUGUUGCGAGAAUCGGUAGCAUGACGCCGACAUAUUUCACAACCUCCUCUUCAUUGCUAUAGGCAUAUCCCCAGAUGCCGCGCACCAGAAUCAUGAUUAGUCCCACUACUAAUCCUUCUAUGAUGGCCAAGAAUACCACUAUGCGUACUGCGAGGCGAGCGGCAUCAGGCCGCCCAGCACCGAGUUCAUUUGAGACGCGUGUGCUACGAAAAAAGAGAUAAAAAAUUAUCUUUUUCGUUUAGUUUUAAAGAGGUGGAAAUGAUCCAAAUGAAAGAGGAGAUAAGAAUGUUGAGAAGUAGUUGUUUGCACUUUGCGCGACUAACCUUAUUGCAGCUCCAAGACCGAAAGGAACCAUGAAUACCAUCGAAGCAGUGUUAAGGCUGAAGAAAACGAGAUGCUCUUAGUACAAGAAUAUCAGAAACUAAACUUAAUGAUCAUUCCACUUAUUAAAGCAAAUAUAAACAAUGUCAAAAGGUUGAAAGUUGUGCUAACCUUAUCGACAACACGGAUGUUUCUAGCUGCGGGUUUGGAAGAAGACCAGAAAGAAGCACGAGAAGCUCGAAUGACCACCAUUCCAAGCUGUCUCAAAAAGCACUUCUAGUUAGAAAUAGUGAUCUGAUCAUAAACAUAAUUAGAUGAUGAAUCACAAGUUUAAUUAUUUUCCUACCAAACCAUCAAAGCUGACGGAACGGCGAGUCUGAUGAAGCUCAAAGUAUCAUGAAAAGCCUCUUUCGAAAGGCCAGUCCAAGUCUUCUUGCAGUCAUUCGACAGUUGAACAUAAGCUUCCAGCAGUAACACAUUUAUCCAGUAUGAUAUAGCAUUUGCCAGAGCAGCACCUUUGCUGCCGAGGCCUAAUCCAUACACCAGCACCCAACAAACUCCGAUGUGAAGCAAUGCCGUGAGCCCCGAGCUUAUCAUAACCGGAAGAACGAUGUUCUGCGUCUGCAGGAAUCGGACGUGGCACUGCAGAAGGCCGUACGCGAAGAGCGCGGGGAUCAUCCAUCGAGCGUAUAUUCCAGCUUCGUAUGCGAUCUCCGGGUCUUGCCCGCACAGAACAAGGAAUUGCCCUGUGUAGGCCCAUAUUACAGCGAGCGGAACGCUUGCGAGCAUGAGCACUAGCAUCGCCCUCUGCAUGUGAAUGCCGAGCAUGUGAUACUGCUUCGCUCCGAAGGAUUGCCCGCAUAGAGUAUCCAAAGCACUUCCCAUCCCCAUCUAAUCAAAGGAGAAGGGACAGACUAACAUUUUCACCAUAUAACCUUCGUUUGAUAAAAAGGCAGUGCAGACUACUUUUCUAAAGAACAGAUGUUCUUUUUGCGGCGCGCAUAUCAAAAUAGAAUAACAAACCGCAAACAGCUAAUUGAAGCAUCAAAAUAGUGAAUUGUUCAUCUUCUCAAGUUUUAGUCAAGAUCCUAAUUCGCAAACUAGGCUAUACCAGUACUGUGCUAAAAGAAUCUCUACUCCGAUAACUACGACUCCAGAAUAGCCAGAGAAUUGGAAACAGCUUAAAGCUCAUGACAAAGAAUGAAAAGCUAUACUCAUAUUUCAUUUCACCCUUUUCGCCUUCAACUAUUUCACUCGCCACUUUUCUCUACCAAUAUACUCUCUACUCACACGAAAAACUGUUCUCCGAGUAAAUUUCUCAUCUUCUUUUCCUCCUUUCUAACUUAAUCAUUGAAGUAUACUUCUUGCAUCAAAACUGUAACAAAGAACUGCUGAGAACUGAUUUAUGCUUCCAAAUUGUUUGCUGUUUUCUAAGGAGCUAACUUAACUACUUAUCAGCAAAACAGGGCAAAAGGAAUCGGCUGAUAAGCUUUUCAAGGAUCACAAGAAAAUCAUUUUUCAUGAAAAUCUUUGUUUACAAAAUAAUAUAAAUCUGAAUUUUUGAUAUACAGGUACCCUAACUUUGUUUCUUUUUUCUUCUUUUUCUUUCUUUUUCUUUUUUCCAUUUCAUAGUCAAAAUUGUUGAAUCAGAAUUCAGAAAAGGACUGGUGACUAGUUUCUACAGGGAGGAAAUUUUGUUGUAGAAAUUGACAAUCAAGUAAGCAAUAUUGCAAAACAUUGCAAGAAGAAGAAAAAAAAAAAGAAAAAUAGAAAAGCAGUAUCUUGGAAAAAUCUCAAUUUGAACACUGGUUACAAAGGACAAAAGCAAACAAGAAAAACAAAAGAUAGAAGGUUAAUGAGAGAUUUCCAGCCCCAAAGACAACUCAAAGGCAACUCAACUUUCUCUGAAAAGGAUUGAAACUGCCCCACUUUUGGAGAAAUGUGUAUCCCACAUAAUAUUAGAAUUUUCAUUUUCUAAAGAUCAAUAAUGAGGGAUUUUGACAAGAUUUUGACUCAAUAAGAUUUCUCACAUGACUCUGGCCCCUCCGAGUUGCUAAACCGCUCUCCUUUACCUGCAUCGCUCUCUGGACUUAUUCUAUUCAUCUUAUUUUAUGCAAUCCAAUUAUGAAUGUCAAAUGCAUCAUAUGAAUAUAAUAAUAUGAGCAAGUAAUAAAGAAGGCAAAUGAAAGAAUUGUAAUGCAAACAUACCAACAAGCUAAAACCAGUGACCCCAGCAAAGGAGUUGGCCAUGGAAGCCCCAGAGAGGGGUAGCUCCCCAAGAUGGCCUACAAACAUUACAGAUAUGACCUGUAUAAUGUUUUGCAAAAGGUUCCCUGCUAUAAGAGGCCCUGCUAACCACACUUGCUUCUUAACCUCACUCACAACCUCCCAUUCUCCUCUCUUCUUAUCACAGCUUGUGAGUAGAGGAACCUCCAUACUUGGCUUCUCUCUCUCUCUCUCUCUCUCUCUCUCUCUCUCUCUAAGGAGGUGAUUGAGUUUGUUUGAGAAGGGGAAGGGGAAGGAGAAGGGGAAGGGGUGGAAGGGGGUUGUGUUAGGUAUUUAUAGGGUUAUGAAUGUGAGGGUAAAAGUGAAGGCACAUGGGAGAAACUAAAUAAAGAUUUGUUUUGUUGGCAUAUUCUUUUUGUUUGUUUUGAUUUUUUAUCUUUUUUUUUUUUAAUAUGAUUAACAUGUAUUUUUAUUUGAGUUGAGUUACGUUGCUUUUUAAAAACUUACAACUUUCACGGACUGUUCCUAGAACAAGUGGCAAAGGACUUGGUGGUUGGUAGUCGAGACCCAAGUUCGAAUCCUGGUUAAUUCACAUUUUCAGCCAAAUUUAUUUCUAAAUGAAAUAAACGAAACAGGUAGCGUCCUACCUAUCUCUCAAAAAAAUAAAAAAGAAAAUUACAACUUUCAAUUUUGAGCCUUUGGAUCUUAUUAUUAUUAUUACCGUCACCAACUAGUAAAUCUUAGAAAUAUACCGGCUUGAAAGUUAAAAAAAUAUAUAUAUUUCUGAAAACAUAGUAGUCCCACACUUUUUAUUUUUAUAUUUAGCAGGUACACUAUGCUCCACGUGUUUUCUAUGGAGGCAAAAGUGAUCCAAACCAUGUUGAAAAGCUGGGGUCCAACUGGUCGGUUCGACCGGUCCUAUCUCGACUCAGUAUAUAAAAUUAUUCUGUUCAAUCUUUUAAAUCGGAUAAGUUAAAAAAAAUCACUUUGAACUGUUCUAACUAGCGGUUCAACCAUCGAACCGAUGAAUCGGUCCGAUUUUAAUUUAACCAGCUAGAUUUUUUUUGAUUAAGUCAUAUUAAAUUCAACACUUAGCUAAUUUUAUUUUCCAUUAGCAUAAAUUAGUCUUAUAAAAAGUAAACCUUGAAAACUUAUAUCUACUAAGUUUGGUAUUGGAAUCAAUAUUUUAUAAUUAAGUACAAUACUAAAAUAAUAAUAUAUAUAUUUUUUUGGAGUCCGACUGUUAUGCUAUUAAUAGUACGAAGUACUUGGUGCUACCAAGUUUUGCACCGUUAGAUCUACCCUUUUGAUCAUUUUCACCCGUUAGAUCAUACUAUUCAACCAACCACCCACUUAACUCUUGGGGGCCCACAUCAUUCUAACCGUAUAUCUUUUAAUCUAAUGGCCAAAAACUUAGUAGUACCAAUGACUUGGUGCUAUUAAUAGUAUAGUAGCCUAGUUCAUUUUUUUAUAUAAUAAAUUUAAAAAUAAUAACUAAAUAUUUAUGAUGUGAUGUUGAUUCCACUAGUUCAGCCAGUGGUUGACCCACUAGUUGAUCCAAAGGCUUUUUACUCUGUAACAUUUUUAGGUCGUUGUUCGACCCAAUUUUUAAAACAUUGUGGUGCAGGACACAAAUGGCACCCAAAUUUUGCACAAUCCAAUGCCCAAACAUUUUGGAGCUAAUUAUAUGGGAAUACGUAAAAUUUCUGCAUACUGUAGUCCACUUGGUAUUAAGGUGUCUAACUAUUUGGCAAACAGAAUUUGCAUAUAUAAAGUUAUAUUUUCCUUUUUUUUUUUUCGUAGAAUUACAAAAUUUAUAUUUUAACCAAAAAAUUGCGGUAUACGUUUAUUACUUUCGAAAGCAUAUUAUUUUUAUAUAGGGAUAAUUACCUAUAUGCCCCUCAUAUGUUUGAAAAUAUCCGAUUUACCCUUUUUUUUCUAAAAUAUCACUCAUAUGUUCCACCGUUAUUGCAAAAUACUUCCGCAGUUAUCUCCUGUUAAGUUAAUCUGGGUUAAACAUGAGUUAAAUAUCUACCACAGUUAAAAAAAAUUAAAAUGCCAAUUUUAUCCUUAACAUAGGGGUAAAUAAAAAAGGUUGGUGAUGGUAGAGAAAUAUAUUGGAAAAGACUAAAAGUCAAAACACUUUUUGUGCCCCUGAUUUUAAGGACAAAUAAGAAAGACAGUGAUGGUGGAAUGGUAUAUUUGAAAGGGCAAAAUAGUAAUUUUACAGAGAUAACAGAGUUACUUAACAUAUUUUAACUCUAAGGGUAUAUUAGAAAUAGGUUGGAACGUAGGAGAGUUAUUUUCAAUAUUAGCCUUCUAAGAGGAGUAAAUCAGAAAGUUAGGAACUUUUCAGAAAUAUAUAAGUAAUUACCCCCUUUAUAUAAUAUUUUAUUAUCGUAGGUAAUGCAAUCUGCUUGCAAUUUGGAACGAAACCUAAAAUUCUAUCUAGAAUUGUAGGAUGUAUGUGUUUUGUACGCUACAGAAUGUCAUCAAAUCAUAUUGGUCGCAAUGAUUGAUUAAGAUAAAAUUUUUAAUUACGAUCCUGUAGAAAAAUAUAAAAAUAUAUUUUAAUAGUGUUAGGUACCAAAUAAGAAGUAAGUGGUCACACAUUAAUUUUUUAGAAAAGACAAAGGUCCUUAAAAAGCUAUUUUCGAGCUAGCCCUAAGAAGUGUCACUUGUAUUUUAUUCAAAAUUUUCAAAUAUUACGUUAUCAAAAAAAAAAAAAAAAAUCAAGUUUGGAGAUUCAAUUUUUGAGGUCUAAGAUUAAACAUUUACUAUUGAAAUUGCAAACCUUUCAUAUAAUCAUUAUUUUAUAUUAUUGCUUCACAUCGUAAAGAAACUACUCUGUCAUGUUACUAGAAACCAAAAGCCAAAUAAUUUAAUUGUGGGAAUAGUGAUUUGCAAUAAAGCACAAAUCUGAAUAAAACAAAAUCUAAUUAAUCUGAGGUGGUUUGUUUAACUUUAACUAUUUUAUUUGGAUAAUUCGUACUGAGUUAAGAUGCUGCAAAUAGAAUAAUAGCAAUUAUUAUCAGAUGAAACCAUUAAUUAAAUGACUUGGUUUGAUCUAAAAGUCAUAAACAAUGUCGCUUCUGUAAACAAGGUCAUAAAAAAAGAGAAAUGCUUAACAUAAACCUCCAAAUGGGAUAUAUAUAUAUCUUUUAUUCAAACUGUCCAGAAGUUAAAACGACCCACUUGAGUUUUAUUAUUAUUAUUAUUAUUAUUAUUAUUAUUAUUAAAAGAGAAUGUCAUAAGUUUAAUGAGAUAGAAUUAAGUAUUAGAUGAAUAAAGAUUAUAAAUACUAACCAACUAUUUCAAACAUAUACGCUGAUAGAAAGAAAUUAAUCACCCGUCGCACUUAAAAGUUCAACUACAACACACAAAGAAUUCAACCUCACUUAAUUUAUCUGAAUGUUAGAUAUAUUGUUAGGCCUCUUACCAUUAAUAAAUAACCAACGAUCCUCUCAACCUAUCUGAAUAUUAGGUCUAUUGUCGGCUCAAAUACAAUACUCGUGGAUAGGCUUAUCUAAGAUUGAAUCUAUUUUAAGCAAUAAUAAAUAACCAACAAUACCCUCAACAUCUGCAUCGUUAAUACAAUAUGUGGGAAUCAAAUCCGCGUUACUGACUCUGAAACUAUUUGUAGAUCGUAAAUACUAAUCAAUUAUUUCGAAAGCAUGUGUUGAUGAAAGAGCGCACUGGUCGCACUUAAGGGUUCAAAGUGCUCACGGAUUUCGACCCGACUCAACCUAACUCGACGUUAGAUUUAUUGUUUAACCUAACUUGACAUCACGUCUAUUGUAGAUCUCAGUUUCACUCAAUUUAUUACGGUUCAUCCACCUCAGAUUAUUAUUUUUCUAAUCCUAUUACCAGGGGACAGAAGCCCUAUUUUAGGAGGAAUUCUACACUGUCACACUUGCACCACGUCAUCAAUAACAAGCCAAUCAUAUCCCUUCUUUUCAAACAAAAGUACAAUAAAAAUACUUUUUUACAAUCAUGAUGGGAUAUAUAUAUUCUUAAAAGAAUUAAUUUGAUUGGUUUGUUACGCUACGGCACUAAUAUACCCGUUGCAUUCUAGAAUUUUUUCUAUUUUAGACAAUAAAAGAAAAAUAUGUACUAAAUCAUGCCAAAGAAAAAGACCAAAAAAAAAAAAAGAAAAAAAGUAUGGCUUUUGGAGGAGUGAGAUAAAAGACGAGACAUCUGAUAUCAGAAAAGCUGAGACUGAUAUACAAACAUCUUCUGACUACAUUGGUUGGGUAUAUUUUGUCUCCAUAUAUAAAGGGUGAAUAUUCCAAAUAUUUAUUAACUAUUUAAUUAAUUAAUUAAAACUUGAUUCCCAAGAUAUCUAUGCAGGAAGUUGCCGUGACCAAUUCCCACUUCACAAAUAAUAAUAGUAAUAAAUAAAUAAAAUAAAAUAAGAAAAACCCAAGAAAUUCAGAUUUUUUUUUUUUGAGAGAUAGAUAGCACGCUAUCCGCUUCGUUUAUUUCAUUUAGAAAUAAACUUAGCUAGAAAUAUGAAUAAAUUAGGAUUCGAACUUGAGUCUCGAGUACCAACCAUUAAGCCAUAUAGGGGAUUAACUAUCCUUGUUAAUUUUAGGUCUUAGGUGGAAAUUAAGUACAUAUAUUGACACUUCUAUAAAAUUAUUAGGGUAAACUUCAAAUACCUCCCGUGGUUUCACACUUUCUCACUUUAGUACCGUGUGGUUUAAAGUGUAUCAAGUUAGCUUAUGUGGUUUCGUACUUUUUUACUUUAGUACCCUGUGGUUUAAAAUGUAUCAAUUUUGUACCUUGUGGUUUCAUUUUUCUCUUUUUAUUAUUCAUUUUACUAAUUUUUUUCGUUAAAUCAGUAACAAAGUUUAAAACUAAAUGGUGCUGAAGUAAAUAUUCGAUAAACUUAGAUAGUGUAUUUAAAGUUUUUUUAUAUAUAAUUUAACGAAAUAUUAAUAGAGGAAAAAAAUUAAUGACAAAGUUAAAACAAAAGGAUAUCAAAAUAAAUAUUCGAUAAACCUAGAUAGGGUAUUUGAAAUUUUUUGUAUAUAAUUUAACGAAAUAUUAACAGAUGAGCCGAUGAAAAGAGAAAAAUGAAACUAUAAGAUACUAAAUUUAUGCACUUUAAAUCAUAGAAUAUUAAAGUGAGAAAGUACGAAAUCACAUGGUACUAAAUUAAUACACUUUAAACUAUAGGGUACUAAAGUGAAAUAAUGCGAAACCGGAGUGGUAUUUAAAGUUUUCCAAAAUUAUUAUUUUGUUUUCUUGCUUGGUGGUCACGAGUAACUUUCUGUGUGACCUCAAUCUAUUCAAUUAUCAAAAAAGAGUGUGGCUAAAAUAUUACCAAUAGUAAAUUAAUGAGUUUUGGUAUCACUAUUUUAUUUUUUAAUAAUAAGAUAUUAAUUAUAUCAUUAAAUAUAAUCUAAAAUAUAUAAAGUAUUUAUAAACUAAUUUUUAUGUCUUUGGAUAUAAAUUAUCAAAUGGUCCAACGGACCCAGUAGGGGUAUUUAUUCAUUAGUGGCUGAGAAUAAUCCAAAAUAAUUAUAUUUUUAUUAGAAAAAUCUAUAAACUAUUUGAAUCAAGAUCAAUACACUGGAUACUGGACGCAAGAAUAUUGUCCUUGAUUUUUAGGUUUUAGCGUAUUUGCUUUCUCCUGUAUAUGUAAGCGGCCGCUUGAUGCACAAAAAGAUAAUUUCGAAAAGUAUAAUUUUAAUUUUUUAAGAGAAAUGCAAAGUUUACGAUCCAUUUUGGGUUGUAACAUAAGCAAUCGUUAAUCCUAGGGUUAUAACAACACUCUAACAUUUACUUAGUAAUAAGACUAGUAUAAAAUUUAUGAUCUUUGGAUUCGAUUGCUAUUUAAACCGAGAUGCGGUUCUACAGGUAUCAUUGCUCAUAUUUUAAAUGGUUUAAAUUACAUAGUAUCGAUUUGAAUAUUUUAUCAUUAUAAAUAAAUCAGUAGUAUCAAACACAUUUAUCAAUACUUAUUUAAGUAUUUAGCAACCGUCGGAACCCUAUCUCGUCGGUUGCGUCGCGGAGGAGGAGAAGGAGAAGAGCGAGGGGCUCUUCGUCUAGUAUUUCAGUGGAUUGAGUGAGUGAAGAAGAGGAGAUAAUGAUCGAUUUUUCUUCUUCUUUUAUUUUUCUUUUCUGUUUGUAAUCGGAACAAAUAGGUUCGAUGGGAUGGGCUGAAUAAAAUAAUCUUUUAUUUUUGAUUGAAUUAGAAUUCAUAUAUAUUUAGGCCUUAGUAGAAUUUUUUAAAAGUUUUGUCAUAAAUGAGACAUUUACACAAAAAUAUUCUAAAAAUAUGUUCCUAUAAACUGAUUCUGUUGUAACGUGAUCAUAUCCAAAAGCUGCAAAUAAAUAAAUAAAUAAAAUAAAAUAAAAAAAUCAGGGUGCAGGUCCACAUAGUUUACAUUAGCGGAGCCCUGCAUCCGCAUAACAUUUUUAUGCGAAGGUUGGGAUUAAAGAGGUCCUCAUGAAUUUGAAUAAUUGUUAGUGUAAAAACAAAAAAAAAAAGAUCUUUUCUUUAAUCCAUUUAGGAAUCAAAGUUGAUUUCCAUCUCUAUGGAAGAAAUCAUUUUCGAAAAAUUUGAUUUUUUGAUAUAAAAAUCAGAAGGUCACAUUUCCAUCUCUAUCGAAGAAAUUAUUUUCGAAAAAUUUGAUUUCGUGAAAUAAAAAUCAGAAUGUCAAUCCCAUAGCUCAAAUACUAAUAAUAAAGAUGAAUUAUUUUCGAUUCUGAUUCCAAAUCUUAGUAAGUCCAUCAAAUCAAACACAUCUUUAGUUAAUUCUUUUCCUUAGUCUAAUAUGGGCGUUGUUCUCAAUGCGUUUUAAUACAAAUUACCAAUUAAGUUUGGAUUUUCUUGCACAGCAACAAUUCUAUUUUAUGAUAUUUUCCAACAUUUUAUCUGUCUUUUUAUAUUAUUUAGAUUAGUUGAUUGAGUCAAACAUGACAAAAAAAAAAAUCUCACAUUAUUGAAUGGACAAAUCGAAUUGUGUAAGGUCUCCUUAAUUAAUAUUCUUAGACUUGGCGUACGUACAUACAGAUUGGACAUCUCACGUGCAGAUCAUUGUACCCAUAGGUUAUGCAGGCGCAGAUAAAAUUUACCCAUAGAAUUUUGGAUAUCUAUCAUCCUUACUUAUACCUGUCCGCGGGUGGGCGAGCUGGUAUAUCGGUUACUCGUAAUAUUUUCUUUUCUUUUUUUUUUUUCUCUUUCUAUGGUUAUACUUUUCAAACACAAAUAAUAUAUAUCAUGAAAUGUAGGCCAGAAAAGGCAGAAUGAACUGCAGGCUGCAGGGCCAAGCAGGCCUUAAUUUUAAUGGAAGAAAGAGAAUUACCAACAAGCUGAAACCAGUGACAGUGGCAAAGGAGGUGGCCAUGGAAGCACCAGAGAGAUCCAGCUCCCCAAAGUGGCCAACAAACAUCAAUGAUAUCACCCUUAUAAUGUUUUGCAAAAGGUUCCCUGCUAUGAGAGGCCCUGCUAACCACAGCUGCUUCUUUACUUCACUUUGUAUGACCCCCUCUAACCCUUCUCUCCUAUUUCUGGAACUUGUGGUGAGCAGAGGAGCCUCUAGGCUUAUUGGUUGCUCCAUCUCUCCUUAAUCACACAUACUCUCUCUCUCUCCCUAGAUCUCUCUCUUUCUCUCUAAGUGGCUAGAGAGGGAGGAGUGGCCAUUUUGAGAAAAGAAGACAAUUUGUCUUUCUCUUUGUUGUGAGGGCAAAUUAUGUCACUUGCCAAUUAUUAAUAAAGGUAUAAAAGAAUAUAGAACUUAACUUAAUUAUAUAUAUAGGGUGUUUUUGAAAAGUGAUUUCAGAGUCAAAAGUAACUUUCGGCCUAAUUGGACGUUCGACAAUCUUAUUUUCAAAAUCUAAUUCUGAUUUAAAUUAGAAUUAGCUAAACUUGCUUUUUGAAAUCUGGUUCUGAUUUUGGAAUCAAAUUUCAAAAUUUUAUUUUAAUUUUCGACUUAAAAUUUAAUUUUAAUUUUAAUUUUAAUUUCAAUUUUUAACAUUUAUUUUUGAAUUUUUAAAUUUUAAAUUUCAAAUUUUUAAAUUUGAAAUGUCCAAUUUUAAAUUUGAAUUGAUUUAUAUUUUAGCCUUUAAUUUACAGUGUAGAUUUGAAAUGUUUUCAUAAUUGUCAAAUAUAUUUUUUAAUUCAAAAAAAAUUUAAAUUUUUAGAAUAACUUAGUUUUUAUUCAAUUUAAUUAUUUGGAAAUAUAUUUGUAAAAUAUUUAUUUAUGCAAAUAUUAUUUUUGUCAACUUUAAAUUUUAUUACUCCAGAAAAAUUUUUUUAAUCUAAACUCAGCCAAACGCUUUAUAGCUUUUAACCAAAAUUAUUUUUCUAAACCAACAUCAAUUCUACAGAAAUCACUUUUCCACAAUCUAAGCAAAACGGGCCCAUAGACAUUUUGAAUUUUCUAUCUAACCUUUCAAAAUUUUGAUUUUAUCAUUUUACCCUUCAAUGUAUUUGAUUAGAGCUCGUCAACGGUACUGUGAUUUCAAAAUUUAAGUUAAUUAUUUUCUUUAAUAAACUUAUAUAUUAUUGCGAGAAUCGUAUGAAAUAUACUAACUAAACUUUUAAAAUAAAUGAUGCAUUCAAAUUUUGAAUUCAAAAUAUUGUUCACUAACUGAAAUCAAAUAAGUUGAAACGGUAAAAUCAAAAUUUUGAAAGGAAGCUAUAUCAAAAUGGUCCAUAGUUUGGAAAAGUAUUAAUUGUAUGUUUCUAUCUUAUUAAAAUAGUAAUGCUACAUGUACGCCCAAAAAGUAUGCAUAAAUCUUAUACCUUACCAAUUUAAUAAUCAAUAUUUUCACAUUACUUCAAUUAAAUUUUAAUAUUUAAAAUCCAAAGAAGCUUUCUAAAAUUUUGGAUGGUGUAGUGUAAGAUUUACAUCUCACAUUUUUUAUAUACAAAUAGUAUUUCUUUUACUAAGAAAAUGAUUACUAAUAAUAGAUCUGCAGAUCUAAUUUGUAUUGUCUUUUUUUUUUUUUUUUUUUUUUUUUUAAAAAAAAGAGAGAUAGGUAGCACACUACCCGUUUCGUUUAUUUCAUAAAAGAAAUAAACUUAGCUAGAAAUAUGAACAACUAGGAUUCGAACUUGGGUCUCGGGUACCAACCAUCAAGCCCUUUACCACUUGCUUUAGGGACGGUCGGUAUCAAAAUUGUAUUAUCAGUUAACAGUUUAUAAGGCUUGUGAUGCGGCCAAUUUUGCAUUAGAAUUCAUGGGGAAGCUUGACUAUAAGAAGUUAGGUCGAAAAUUCCAUUGAGUUCGGCAAAUUCUACAAACAAUUUGUAAACUUUUUUAAGCCGUCAUAAUAUUUUUUUGCGUAGUUGUCCGCUUUAGUAUGCAAGUCCAAUUUGAAACAUUUUUUAAGAUCUAUGCACCUAACAGCACUGUUUCUGCUGAGUUUCUGACCCAAAUUUAAUUAUUUACACCUCCCAACUUGCACUUUUAGACUACUUUUGAAAAGAAUUUAUAUUUUUCCUGUUUUGAGACAAAUUAAUGAGUUGGUUAUAGUUAUUCUGGUCAAAUUAAAUUUAGAAAUAGGCUAAAUUAUAGAAAACCUUUCUCUCAAUAUCCGCUUUUUAUGUUAUUCAAAAACCUACACUUAUUCCUUUAAAAAAUAAAAAAUAUUCACAUGGGGGUACGCUGUGGCAAAACAACCAAAUUGCCCAUCAUCUUCUUCAAGAUGGGUGUAGACGGAGAGGUGGGCGAGGACGAGGGCGAGGGUGAGGUGGCGGAGGCGGGCGAGGGCGUGUGUGCGGGCAUGGACAGAGAGGUAAGCGAGAGUGGGGCGGCGGACGGCGAGGCGGCGCGGCCGAGGAUGAGGAAGAAGAAGGAUUUCGGGAAUAUUUUGGGUAUAAAAAAUAGAAUGUAAAUGGAACUCUAACGGAACACUAACGAUGGGAUUAAAAUGAAUUUUUUUUUUAUUUUUUAAGGAGGCAAAGCGUAGAUAUUUGAAUGACAGGGGGGAAAGUGAAAAACGGAUAUUGACAUAAUUUUUUUUAUAACUUAGCCAUAUAAAUAUUUUAUAUUAUGUUAUUUUUUAUACUAGCAGGAUUCUGAUAUCACCUAUGUAAACAUAUGACAUUCGAUUAAUGUAAGCAGUCUAGAGUUUUGAUGAAUAAUAUUUUUCUCUUUUUGAAUAAUUUUUUUCUUCACGUCUCACUCUUUCUUUAUUUAUACUCUUUUCCUCUCAACGCAAUUUAGACCUGCGUCAAUUUGGAAGUACUUAAGAGCAAUCUAAAAAAGAGAAUUAAAUACGCAAUCUAGACCAUUCAUUGCUCUUCAAAUAUAAAGAGUUGUAAGAAAAAGACAUUAAUUCAAACUAUAGCGCAAAUAAAAUUAGUGACAAGCGGGUAAAAUUGAGUAAUUAGUUUCUAUUUUGUUUGUGGGUCCUUCAUUAAAUCUGAUUGUUAAUUAUUUUUAUACGUGAACUGUAACUAAAAGAUAAUAAAAUAAAAUGGGAUAAUUGGCAAAAUAGAUUCGGGAUACGUGAAACACAUAAAAAGUAAAAUGUUGUUCGAAGACGACGCUACCCAUCUCUUGCUAUCAGAUCCGUCCCGUUCGCAUCCCCAUCUCUCGCUAUCCUCCCCCCCCAGAUGCGACCUAUUUCUAGCGAUCAGAUCCGUCGCGUUCGCAUCCUGAUCGCAUCCGAAUCUCCACAUCCACCCACCCACCCCGGACGGGACCCAUCUCUCGCUCUCAGAUUUGUCCUGUUCGCAUCCCGAUCGCAUCCGAAUCUCCACACCCACCCACCCCCCAAUCUCUCGCUCUCAGAUUCGUCCCAUUCGCAUCCCGAUCGCAUCCGAAUCUCCACACCCACCCACCCCCCAAUCUCUCGCUCUCAGAUUCGUCCCUUUCGCAUCGCCAUUCGUCCCAAUUAAUUGAUUUGUCCACCAUAUAUGUUCCUGUUCCUAUAAUGUUUUUAACUUUUGGAUCUACCUUUUGGGCUAUUGAAUAAAAAAUUUAGUAAUAAAGUUAUUGGCGGGGUCUAUUAUUGUGUAUGACAUAAGGAUUGUUAGGGUUGAUCCAAUGAGCCAAAAAGGUUAUAACACCAACAUUUUAGCGCUUCUAAAAGCAUUUCGGUUGGUCUCUCUCUCUCUCUCUCUCUCUUUUAUAUAUAUAUAUAUAUAUAUAUAUAUAUAUAUAUAUAUAUAUAUAUAUAUCGGCUACUGUACUCUUAUCAGUAUCAUCGUCUUCGUACUCAUAAAUCGUUUUCGAUGAUAGAACUUCCGAACCGACAAUCUGUCAGAUCGUUGGCGCUAACCAUUAAUCCCAAAAGCUCGAGCUGUUAAAAAUAUAUAACCAAUUCACUUAAAGCGUACAGAUACAACGCCCACAGAUCUCGAUUAUGACUCGGCCCACCCAGCCUCACGCCACUUUGAACAUGGCUUGGCUUACCUAGCCUCACGCCACUUCGAACAUAAUUCGGCCCAACAUAGCCUCCCGCCAUAAGGCAGGACUCUAGCAUCUGCAACAUGCAGGAAUUGAACUCUUGACCUCUGCCUCUGAUACCACUUGUCAGAUCGUUGGCGCUAACUAAAAAGCUCAAGCUGUUAGAAAUACGCAACCAAUUCCACUUAAAGCGUACAAAUACAGCGCCCACGGGUCUCGAUUGUGACUCGGCCCACCCAGCCCCACGCCACUUAUAACAUGACUCAGCCCACCUAUCCUCACGCCACUUUGAACAUGACUCGGCCCAACAUAGCCUCUCGCCACAAGGCAAGAUGCUCUUAGGUUCAUCCCAUUCGCAUCCCCAUCUCUCGCUCGUUGCUAGAUCCAUCCCGUUCGCAUCUCCACCCCCUCCCUUCCUACCCAUUUCUGGCUAUCAAAUAUGUCCUAUUCGCAUCCCGAUCUCUCGGCAUCCCCAUCUCUCACUCUCAGUUCCGCCCCAAUUAAUUGAUUUGCCCACCAUAUAUGUUUCUAUAAUGUUUUUAACUUUUGGAUCUACCUUUUUGACUAUUGAAUAAAAAAUUUAGUAAUAAAGUUAUUUAUGGGGUCUAUUAUUGUGCAUGAUGUAAGUAUCGAUAGGGUUGAUCAAAUGAGCCAAAAAGAUUAUAACACCAACAUUUCGGCGCUUCUAAAAGCAUUUCGGUUAAUGGUCUCUCUCUCUCUAUAUAUUAUAUAUAUUUCUAUAGAGUGCGGCUACUAUACUCUUAUGAGUAUUAUCAUUUUCGUACUUAUAAGUCAUUUUCGAUGAUAGAGAUUUCGAACCGACAAUCCAUACCGUCAAAUAUUAUCUACAGUAUUUGAAACUUAUAACAGUUAAAUUUUAUAAUUUUUCGAUAUUAUUUAACUUAAGAUCAAAAUAUCUCAAAGUUGACUGUUAGUUAUUUAUUAUUGGGCUAAAAUAGGUUUAACUUCCUGCCCUGUGACAAUUGACCAAGGAGACAAAUAGAUUGAGUUGGGUGAGUCUAAUAAGUUAAGUGAUAGUGUGGUCAAUAAUAGACCUAACGACAGAGGUCCAAUAAUAGACCCAACAUUCAGCUGGGUUGAUUCAAGUUGAAGCCCGUGAGCACUGUGGCUGAACACUUAAGUGCGAUGAGUGCACCCUUCCUAUCAGCACAUGCUUUUGGGACAGUUGGUUAGCGCUUAUGAUCCACAUUGACAACUUUUAACGAUCGGCAUGAAAUAGUUGUUAGUUUAACGAUAUAAAAGAAUCAAAAUUAGUUGAAUUUUUUAUGAAAAUUUUAUUCACUAUCUAUAUAAUGUUUAAUAAUAUGGAUUGUCGGUUUUCAUAUCAUCUAAAACGACUUAUGAGUAGGAAUGCGGUCAUAUUCAUCAGAGUAUUGUAGUCUUAUUUUCUUCGAGUCAAACUACUGUACUCUUAUGAGUGCUUAGCCCUUGGAUAAAGCGAUGUGUGGUUAGAAUGAUAUAAAUUCUCUAGGAUUGAAUGUGCGGUUGGUUGAAUAGUAUGAUCUACGUUAACGGAUGGAAAUAGUCAAAGGAGCAGAUGUAAUGGCGGAAAACUUAGUAACAUAAAGCGCUUAGUACUAUUAAUAGCAUAAUAGUCGGACUAUAUAUAUAUACAUAGAGAGAGAGAGAGAGAGUAGAGCUACUAUGCUAUCGGAAGCAUAGAGGAUCUUGGUGCUUCCGAUUUUUUGACCCUUAGAUCAGCCCUUUUAAUCAUUUAUAACCUUUGGAUUAAUACUAUUAUUCUAUGAGGACCACUCAACCCUAGGGGUACUGCUCAACGCUAGGAGGGAUCGUAAUCAUCCCAAAUGUACAAUUCUUAAUUCAUGGGUCAAAAAAUCGAAAGCAUCAAAUCUUCUAUGUUUUCGAUAGCAUAGUAGCUAUAUAAUUUUUAUGAAUAAUUUGGUGGCAUUAAAACUUUUUAUUAUAAAUAUUUAAUGUUAGAGAAACUGCACUCUGAUUUUUCCUUUGAAGAAAAAAGAAGAAUAAUGUUAAAUAUAAAAGUAUUUAAAUAUUAUUUUUUAAUUAAUAUGAUAUCAGAACAGAAGGUCUUGAGUUCAAGUCACGUCAGGUCACGUCUAAGUUUCUAGCAUUAUUAAUUUUGUCUUAUUUAAUUCAAAUCCAUAUUAUGGGUCUAGCGAAUAGUCUCGAAUCCGGACGUCAGCGCGCGAGAAUGAGCUUUGACGAUAAUGGUUGUUUCGUAUUAUUUAGCAAAGAAAGUCGCAUUUCUUUUUUUCAAUAAUUCCUAUUUCUUUAAGAUAAUUAUUAACUAAAUAAAAGAGAGAGAGAGAGAGAGAGAGAGAGAGAGUAGAAUAUUAGUAAAUAAAUAAUGUAAACAGGUACAUAAAAAGAUUGUGUGCGAAUCAAGAAGAAGAAAUUUGUUUCCAAUAACCCAGCCUGCAAUUUAUGGAUAUGCUAUAUAUCUGUAGCCAAUCUGGAUCAAAUAUUAAUUAUUAGGCAGAUGUUAGUAAAAAAAAAAAAUUAUUUAGGAAUAUUUUGGGAAUAAAAAUUGAGAGAUCCAAAAAUUAUUAUGGACAUAUUAUGAGUGAAGGCAAAUUUAAUUCUAUAUUUAAUUUUUUGGUAAAACGUGUGCAGGACACCCAAAUUAUUGUGGGAUUAUUUGGCGUUGCCACCGCUCAAUCCUAAGUAGGGGUGGUAAUCCAGCUCAUGUUCGGCUCGGAAUGAGCUCGCGAUCGAAUUGCUUGCUUAAUAAACAAGAUGAAAACGAGCUGAAUUUUUCAACUCUUUUAAUAAACGAAUCGAACAUGAGCUGGGGUCAACUCGCUCGUGUUCGGCUCGAUAAAAACUCGAAUACAUAUAUAUAUAUAUAUAUAUAUAUAUAUAAGUCCAACUCAAUUAUAGAAAAAUCAUUUAUAUGUAAGGUUUCAACUAUCAGAUCAAAAUCAAAUCGGUAAGAUCUUAUAAAUUUAUUUUCUAUACGUAUCAUUUAUAUUUGUUUUAACUUUUUAUGCAUUAGUCAGCUCGUAUUUGGCUCGUGUUUGGCUCAUCAAUAAAUGAGCUGAAUUUUUCGGCUUGAUAAUUUAACGAGCCAGCUCGUGCUCGACUCCUUUAGAAAUCAAGCCGAACACGAGUCGGUGUCAGCUCGCUCGUGUUCGGCUCGUUGACACCCCUAGCCGAACAUAACAUGCUUCGAGGAGGUCAAUUCACAGCGAAAAACCUAAGCCAAUUAAAAGCUUAGAGUUCUCAGUCUUUAAAAACUUCCUCGUUCUUAAUUAAUAAAACUUUUAUAUGUUUUCUUUCAUCAUCAACAAAUGAAAGCAAAUAUGGUAAAAAAGUUUAAGGACAGAGUACUUCUUGUGUUCAGAAUCAUGGGUAUUGAUCUUGAUUCAAAUAGUUUAAAGAGUUUUCUAAUAAAAAAUUAAAUCAUUUUGGAUUAUUCUCUACUACUAAUGAAUAAAUAAUUAACAUUGAAAAAUAUAGAAAUUAGCUUUUAGGCACUUCAUAUAUUUUAGAUUAUAUUAAUCUUUUUUUUUUCUUUUUGAGGGAAAGUACGUCAUGAGGUGAUCUUAUUUAAUUAAUCAGUGGAUACAGAUUUGAGAAAAUUCAUCAAUAAAAGACUAAAAAGAAAGUUUAUUUGCCUGUGAGUCCCCAAGUGGCUAAGCAAUCCGCAAUUAUAGCAUGUUUAAAAAAUCUCGAAUUCCAUAUGAAGUUGAAGAAAUUGAAUCUCUCUGUAAAAAACCAUAGUUCCAUGAUUUUUAUCCGAGCUUCAGGUGUUAGCGAAUCUGAGUGAUAACUCCUGCGGUACAAAGCUUUGAUGAUGGAUGCUGAAUCUGAGAAAAUAUAAAAAGUUUUUCCAGGAUACAUUUGCAAAAGAAGCUCUGUCACUCGAGAGAUUGCUACAUUUAGAUUAUAUUAAUCAGUAUAAUUCAUUGAUUCAAGUGCCCCUAUUACUAAAAAAUAAAUAAGUAAUAUCGAAACUCAUUAAUUUACCAUUGAUGACAUUUUUGGUCAAACUUGCUCUCGAUAUAUAAUUCAAUAGACAGAGAUUGUGGAUCGUACUAAUAAUAACAAUAACAAUAAUAAUAAUAAUAAUAAUAAUAAUCAUAAUAAUAUGGCAAUUUCGAGAAGUUUCAAUGCAUGCACCGUUUACAUGCGACAAAAAAUUAACAAGGAUAUUUGAUCUCUACGGGUCAUUGACAACCUCUUGAUUAUUUUUUUAUAAUUAUUUAUUUUUAAGAAUAAUUAUUUAUAUAUUUUUGAAAAUUUUUGGACUUUUUUAUUAACCUUACUUAGAAAAAUAUUAAAACAACCGUUAUCUUUAUAAAUUAAGGAAAACUUCAAAAACCCUUCCGGUGGUUUCGUAGUUUCUUACUUUGCCCUCCUGUGAUUUAAAAUGUAUCAAUUUGCCCCCAUGUGAUUUUUUUUUCUCUUUUUCUUAUCAAUUUUAUUAUUUUUUUUUCUUAAAUCAGUGAUAAAGUUAAAAUUAAAGGGUACUAAAAUGAAUAUUUGAUAAAUCUAGAUGGGCAUUUGAAGUUUUUUGUAUAUAAUUUAAUAAAAUAUUAACGAAAAAGCUACCGAAAAGAUAGAAACGAAAUCACAGGGGGGCAAAUUGAUACACUUUAAACCACAGAGUACUAAAGUGAGAAACUACGAAACCACGGGGAGUUUUUUAAAGUUUUUUCUCUAAAUUAUUACUUUGUCUUUUUAAAUAUACUUUCUAUCGUUACCAAUUUUUUUAUUAAUUUGUCCUUAAGUUGUUGAUAAAAAAAUAUAUAUUUUAAAAUUUUUUUAACUCAGUACAAAUUUUAUCUGGAUUUAAUUCGAAAUUACUUAAUGGAUACUAAGAGCGAAAUUAUUUGAAACAAAAUAUAUAAUUAUCCUUGUAUUUUUAUAUCUGAAGUAAAAUUGGUCACGGCAGCAUCCGACAUAGAUCUAUCUCUUGGGAACCAAGUUUCAAUUAAUUAAUUGAUAAUUAAUUAAUAUUUGGUAGAGAUAAGAGUGUGGGGGAAUUAGUAUUCACCUCUUGUGUCGUAGACUCCCUUUGUGAUGGAGACAAAAUAGUCAACUAAUAAGUCAUAACACGUUUGUAUACAUAUUUGUCUCACAAAAACAGAGCUUUCCAAAAGAAAGAUGAACAGUCUUCUUUCUCCGCCCUCAAUAGUCAUACUUUUUUUUUCUUUUUUUCUCUUCUUUUUCUGUCUUUUCUCUACUUCUUUUUGACUUAGUUAUUUCUCUGCCCUCUGCCCUCAGUAGCCAUACUUUUAUUUUAUUUUAUUUCUUUUCUGUCCUUCUCUUUAACUUGUUUGAUAUAUAUAUAUAUAUAUAUAUAUAUAGAGUGAGGCUACUAUGCUAUCGGAAGCACGGAGCCUUCCGUGCUUCCAGCUCGUUUUCGAUGUUANAUAGAGAGAGAGAGAGAGAGAGAGAGAGUUGGACUAGGCUACUAUUAGUAGCAAAAUUUCAUUAUUGCUAUCAGUUUUUUAGCCUUUGGAUCAACUCUUUUCAUCAUUUCUAACUAUUGGAUUAAAUACUAUAACCCAGUGGAGACCACUCAACUCUAACUGACUAAUAUCAUCCUAAUCCUAUAAUUUUUCAUCUAAGGGUUAAAAACUUGAUAGCAAAAAGUGCAUUUUACUACUAAUAGUAUUUCAGCCUAAUUAUAUAUAUAUAUAUAUAUAUAUAUAUAUAUAGUCCGACUGGAAUACUAUUAAUAGCAUCAAGGGAUUGGUGCUAUCGAGUUUUACACCGUUAGAUUCAAGCACCCACUCAACCCUAGGGGCCCACAUCAUCCUAACCGUACAUUUCUCAAUCUAAGGGCUAAAAAACUAAUAACACUAAUAGCUUGGUUCUAUUGAUAGUAUUCCAGCAUAGAUAUAUAUAUAUAUAUAUAUAUAUAUAUAGAGAGAGAGAGAGAGAGAGAGAGAGAGAGAGAGAAAGAAAUAGAGAGUUAGGCUCCUAUACUUUCGAAAAUAUAGAGGCUUCCGGACUUGUAAGUUAUUUUUGUUGAUGGGGCAUCUGAUUUGGAGAUCGACUUCGUUAGACAUGAUUUACGCUAUUCGAAUUAUUUAGAAACCAAAUUUUAUAAUUUUUUUACUUCAUUUGCCUGGUAAACAGGUAGGCUCAAAAUGAACGGCUGAAAAUAAAAAUCUCGUAAAAUAUAGUGAAAAAAGACUCAAAUUUCAAAUUGGAAAUAUUGUUCUUACUCUUGAUGUUAAGUAGAAUUUUCUAUUAAAGUUUUAUGUAAUUUGGAUUCUUCUACACCGUUGAACUUUAAAACGUGCCACAUCGGCCGUUAAAAUAGUCAUUUUUGAGACUCUUUGAUCACUUGGUAAAUGAUGUCAAAAAAUUAUGAAAUUUGGUUUUUAAAUAGUUCUAAAAGCGUAGAUCAUGUCUAACGGAACCGAUCGCCGAAUCAGAUGCUCUAUCAUCAAAAAUAACUUAUAAGCACGAAGGCCCCCGUACUUUCGAAAAUAUAGAAGACGUACUCGAUAUAUAUAUAUAUAUAUAUAUAUAUAUAUAUAUAUAUAUAUAUAUAUAUAUAUAUAUAUAGUCCAGCUGCUAUACUAUCGGUAGCAUGGGGCCUCCCGUGUUACCAAGUUGUUUUCGAUGAUGCGGUUUCCAAAUCGACGAUCGGCUCUGUUAGACUUAAUCUACACUAUUAAAAGUAUUUGAAAACUAAAUUUUAUAAUUUUUUGACAUCAUUUGACUAGUGAUCAAAAGAUCUCAAAAUUGACAAUUGUAAUGGCCGAUGUGGCGUGUUUUUUAGUUUAACGGUGUAAAACAAUUCAAAUCCGAUGAAAAUUUUAUUGAAAUUUUUUUUCACUAUUUAGAGUAAGAUCAGUAAAUCUGAUCUUAAAUUUAAAUCUUUUAUCAUUAUUUUUUAUGAGAUUUUUAUUUUCAGCCGUUCAAUUUUAGACUAUUUGUUUGAUAGGUAAAUGAUAUCAAAAAAUUAUGAAAUUUAUUUUCCAAAUAUUUUUAAUAGUGUAGAUCAAGUCUAACGGAGCCGAUCGUCGAUUUGAAAGCCACAUCAUCGAAAACAACUUGGUAGCACGGGAGGCCCCGUGCUAUCGAUAGUAUAGUAGCCGAACUCUCUCUCUCUCUCUCUCUCUCUUUCUCUGUAUAUAUAUAUAUAUACAUAUGUAUAUGUAUAUAUAUAUAUAUAUAUACAUAUACAUAUGUAUAUAUAUAUAUAUACAUAUGUAUAUAUAUGUAUAUAUAUGUACAUAUAUGUAUAUAUAUGUAUAUAUAUGUACAUAUAUAUGUUAUAAUAUGUUAUAUAUUACAUAUGUACUAUAUAUAUGUACAUUAUAUAUAAUAUAUAUAUGUUAUAUAUAUGAUACAUUAUAUAUUUAAAGAUGUAUAUUCGUAUAUAUGUACAUAUAUAUAUGUAAUGUACAUAAUAUUUAUAUGCUACAUGUAUAGAUAUAUACAUAUAUAUAUACAUUGUCAUGAUUAUAUGUAAUGUAGUUAUAUAUAUGUAAAUGUACAUACAUAUAUGUACAAUAUAAUAAUAUAUGUAUUAUAUGCUUUAUUAAUUUAUUAUUGUACAUGUAAUAUAUUUAUAUAUGUACAUAUUAUAUUGUACAUGUACGUGAUACAUAUAUAUAUGUAUUAUAUUUAUAUAAUAUUGUACGACCUGGACCGGCAAAUGUUAGUUCCGUUUAGCACGUGACGUUGACUCAGUCGUACUAUUAAUUUCUAGCUGGUGAUAUGGCUUGAUAUUAAAUAUACCCGAACACUCGUGUACCGUAGCAUAUAGUAGACCGAAUCUUCUCUCUCUCUCCUAUUUCUCUUUUAUAUAUAUUAUAAUAUAUUGUAACGACCUGACCGACCCAAAAUGCUUAGCCUAGUUAAGCACUGAGUUAGACCUCACCGGUAUAUCUCAUCACUUCUUAGUGGUGAAUGGCAUUACAUUUAAAUAUAACGACCGACCCAUAGCGAAUAAUAGACUGUUGGGCAAAAACAAUCGGCUCAAAUGUUAGCCAGAUUAUUAUGUUAUUUACAUCAAGCUAUAUACCCAUCUGGUCAUAACUAUAUAAUUUGGGAUAUUGGGUGACACAAACACAAACACGGCGUUACUCGAUGCGAGCGGCGCACAAACACACAGUAUAUAUAUAUAUAUAAUUAUUUAUAUUAUAUUUAUAUAUAUAGAGAGAGAGAGAUGAAGAGAGAGAGGAGAGAGAGGGGGAGGAGAGAGUAGGGAUAGAUAUUGUAAAAGUAUCAUGGGGGUGAUACUGUGUGUUUUUUAACCUAUGAUGAGAGAUGUGACGGUUGAGAUAGAUGUGUAGGUGAUGGUCUAGGUGGAAUAGUGUUUAAUCAAGGGUAUUAAUAUCAAAACAAAGUAUGAUGCUGGCUUAAACCUAAAUAGACAUGAUGAGUGUAUUGGUAAAUAGUCUAAGCUCAACAUGUACAUAAUAUUUAUAUGCUACAUGUAUAGAUAUAUACAUAUAUAUAUACAUUGUCAUGAUUAUAUGUAAUGUAGUUAUAUAUAUGUAAAUGUACAUACAUAUAUGUACAAUAUAAUAAUAUAUGUAUUAUAUGCUUUAUUAAUUUAUUAUUGUACAUGUAAUAUAUUUAUAUAUGUACAUAUUAUAUUGUACAUGUACGUGAUACAUAUAUAUAUGUAUUAUAUUUAUAUAAUAUUGUACGACCUGGACCGGCAAAUGUUAGUUCCGUUUAGCACGUGACGUUGACUCAGUCGUACUAUUAAUUUCUAGCUGGUGAUAUGGCUUGAUAUUAAAUAUACCCGAACACUCGUGUACCGUAGCAUAUAGUAGACCGAAUCUUCUCUCUCUCUCCUAUUUCUCUUUUAUAUAUAUUAUAAUAUAUUGUAACGACCUGACCGACCCAAAAUGCUUAGCCUAGUUAAGCACUGAGUUAGACCUCACCGGUAUAUCUCAUCACUUCUUAGUGGUGAAUGGCAUUACAUUUAAAUAUAACGACCGACCCAUAGCGAAUAAUAGACUGUUGGGCAAAAACAAUCGGCUCAAAUGUUAGCCAGAUUAUUAUGUUAUUUACAUCAAGCUAUAUACCCAUCUGGUCAUAACUAUAUAAUUUGGGAUAUUGGGUGACACAAACACAAACACGGCGUUACUCGAUGCGAGCGGCGCACAACACACAGAUAUAUAUAUAUAUAUUAGAUUAUUAAUUGAUAUAUUAUAUAUAUAGGAGAGAGAGAGAGGAGAGAGAGAGAUGGAGAGAGAGAGGGGAGAGAGAGUAAGGGCAUGAUAUUGUAAAAGUAUCAUGGGGGUGAUACUAUGUUGUGUUUUUAACCAUUGGAUGAGAGAUGUGAGGUUGAGAUGAUGUGGUAGGUGAUGGUCUAGGUGGAAUAGUGUUUAAUCAAGGGUAUUAAUAUCAAAACAAAGUAUGAUGCUGGCUUAAACCUAAAUAGACAUGAUGAGUGUAUUGGUAAAUAGUCUAAGCUCAUAUAUAUAUAUAUAUAUAUAUAUAUAUAUAUAUAUAUAUAUAUAGUUGAGCUAGAAUACUCUUAAAAGCACCAAGUAGGUGGUGCUUGUGAGUUUUUAACCAUUGGAUUGAGAGAUGUAGGAUUGAGAUGAUAGUGGUAGGUGGUGAUAGGUGGUGGUAGGUGGAAUAGUGUUUGAUCCAAAGGGUAUUAGUAAUUAAGGAGUGAAUCCAAAGGUUAGAAACUUGGAAGCACCAAGCGGUUGGUGCUUCCAAAAGUAUUCUAGCUCCACUCUCUCUCUCUCUCUCUCUCUCUCUCUCUCUCUCUCUAUAUAUAUAUAUAUAUAUAUAUAUAUAUAUAUAUAUAUGAGUAGAGCUACUAUGCUGUCGGAAGCAUAUAGGAUGUGUGGUUCUUCCGACUUUUUGCCUUUAUAUCAACCACUUUGAGUAUUUCUAACCUUUGGAUUAUUACUAUUAUCCUGUGGGAACCACUCAACCCUAGAGGUAUUGCUCAACUCUAGAAAAACCGCAAUCAUCCCAAUCGUACAAUUCAUGAUCCAAAAGUCAAAAAGUCGGAAACAUCAAAUAUUCUAUGCUUCUAAUAAUAUAAUAACUCUACACUAUAUAUUAUCAUUUUUUAUACAAACAGGCACUAAAAAAUAAGCAGAAAUUUUUCACUCUGUUCAUCUACUAAGGCUCAAUUAACUUUACCAUAAUUUUCAGCUUCUAUACAAAAAAUCAUUCUCCUAUAAAUUUUUUUUGCCUUUUCUUUAUGACUAUCUAAAAUUUAUAUUUUAUCAUAUAAAAUUUUAAGUUGAUGCAUCAGCUUUCGUCAAUAUCCAGUCCAUUUCAUUUCUUCUAAUUUAUACUAAAAAUUAUUUUAAAAAUAACAAAAAAAAUAUUAAAAAUUAUUAUUUUUAUAAAAAUAAAUAAGAACAGUUUACACAUUUUGCUCUCUCCAUUAACACUAUAUUCUUCUAAAAGUAUCUCUAAAAUUUUUAAGAAAAUAAAAUAUAAAAUUUUGAAUUCAAGAGCAAAAAGUUAAAAAAACAGAUAUACAUAAAAACUUCUCAGGGGAUUUAGCACCCAUCUUAUGACUAUUCUAGUCUUAACAUACUUAACUCUCUUAACCUCUUGAGCUUAACUACUGCCAAAUUUAUAGGGAGCCACGCUUUACUCACAAUAAUCAUCAGUAUAAGAAUUUCACUCUUUCCACUAUAUAACCCUAACUCAGCCGAGACUCAUAUCAUAUUUGACACCCUACUUUCUAGAAGGUCAUUCAUUCUAAAACUACUCUAAUCCGAUCACACUUAACUUUUUUAAUCUCUUGGGUUUAACCACUGUUCAAAAUGCUAUUUAAUCCUAUUAUAUCUUAUAUAUAAAACUAUCUGGAGUCUCAUAUUUUUAUAUUAAUUUUUUUUAAAAAAUAAUUUAAUUGUUGGAUGGCGUACAUGUACAUGCACCGUUUCUUUCUUUUUUUUUUCUUUUUUUUUUUAUAUAUAUAUAUUACCCUUGUUUACAGGAUUUUUUAUCAACUGUACGCGUCCAUUAGAGGCGAGGUAGUGACAUUUAGAUCAACGUCAUUCAAUUAUAGAUUGGUCUCAAUUGAUUAUAAUUAUUAGUCUAUUAACAGCAUCCUAACUCAGUACGAUUGUCCAAAUAAAAUAAGUUAAGUUAAACAUUGGUCUCAAUUGAUUAUAAUUAUUAGUCUAUUAACAGCAUCCUAACUCAGUACGAUUGUCCAAAUAAAAUAAGUUAAGUUAAACAAACCACGUCAGAUUACAUUUGGUUUUAUUCAGAUUUGUACUUAAUUUGUUGCAAAUCAAUAUAACCACAUUUUAAUUCGAUUAUAUAUAUGGGAGUAGAGCUACUAUAUGCUAUCGGAAAUAUAGAGGAACUGGUGCUUUCAAUUUUUUGGUCCUUAGAUCAAUCUUGUUUAUCAUUUUUAAUCUUUGGAUUAAUACUAUUAUCCUAUAGAGACCACUCAACAAUAGAAUUACCAUUCAACCUAAGGGAACCGCAAUCAUCCUAUUCAUUUAAUUCUUGAUCCAAAGGUCAAAAAGUCAGAAGCACCAAGUCUUCUAUACUUUCGAUAGUAUAGUAAUUCUACACAUAUAUGGUUCAUGUCCUUUUGGCUUUUGCCUUUUAGCUUCUAGUUCCAGAGUUGUUUUGUUACGGCAUGAAAUAAUUGCAGUUUAAACAGAACGGUAAUUAUUAGAUAAAAUAUAUAUAUAUAUAUAUACCGACCGUCCCUAAAGCAAAUGGCAAAGGGCUUGUUGGUUGGUACCCGAGACCCAAAUUCGAAUUCUAGUUGAUAGUUCUUAAAUAGCUAUAUAUAGAAGAUUUAUGAAUGGGUGUAAAAUAUAUACCUUUUUUGUGGUGUAUCAGUAGCAUUGCUCGUGGCGCAUAUUGUACAUACUAAAAAUAAGGAUAAACUUCAAAUACCAUCUAUGUGGUUUCGCAUUUUCUCACUUUACUAUCCUGUGGUUUAAAGUGCAUCAAGUUAGUACCCUGUGGUUUUAUUUUUUUCCUUUCGUCAACUCCUCCGUUAAUAUUUCGUUAAAUUAUAUACAAAAAAAACUUCAGAUACCCAACUAGGUUUAUCGAAUAUUCACUUUAAUACUCUUUAGUUUUAACUUUGUCACUGAUUUAAUAAAAAAACUUAAUAAAAUAAAAAAUAAAAAGAAAAAAAAAACCAUCUAUACUCUUAUAUGAAUCCUCAAUAUGAAAUGAUGACGUGGCAAGCUUUCAUUUUUUUUAAUUUACGUUUUAUCUCCACUUCUAAAUGCUCAACCCUUCACCUCUCCACAUUUAAUUAUAUUCAUCAUAUUCCACCAAUUAAUGAGCUUAAUUUGUAACUCCAAUCCACUCCCCUCCACCAUUAAUCCCUCACCAUCUCUUUUGCAUGAUAUGUUCUGAAUCCCCAAUAUGAAAUAAUGACUUGGCAAGCUCUCAUUUUUUUAAAUUUACGUUUCAUCUCCAUUUCUAAAUGCUCAACCCUUCACCUCCCCACAUUUAAUUACAUGCAUCAUAUUCUACCAAUUAGUGAGCUUAAUUUGUAACUCCAAUCCUCUCCUCUCCACCAUUAAUCCCCCCACCUCCUCUUUUUUGCAUAACAUGUUAUUUUCCAUGCAAAAAAGAAGAUUUUCAUGUAAUCGCUCACCUCACACUCUCUCUAUCUCAUUGUGUUAACAAAGAUUAUGAGGAUAAUGAAGAAGAAGAGCAUGCGAAGAACGUUGUCUCCUUCAAGAAAUAUUGUCCUGUAAAGUCCAGCCGUGGCUUAUAUAAGUGCUCGCGCAGACCGGUCUGCGCCGAAGCCCUCGCUCGCCGUGAACCGUCGCCACCUCGGCUGUCUCCUCGCGUGGCUCGCGCAUGCCCACACUGGGCCGAGGGGAGCGACGUCCUAGCCUCCUCUUCGCGGGGGCGUUGUGCGGGAGCUCGCUUCUCAAGAAUCGCAGGGACUUCUUGGUAAAUCAAAUUGUUUAAGUAUUAGAAUUUCUGUGGUUGAUGUGAUGGCAAGACUGUAUCGGUUUAGAUAUCGCAGUUUGGUGAUGCAGAUGAGAUGUUUGUUCAUAGGUUACAAUGAAAAUUCAGAAGUGACUCGACGCGGGAAGCAACUACCAGCUGAAAAUUAAGAAGAUGUAUAAGGUUUGGAUAAGUAAGAGAAGUGCUCCAAAAAAAUAUUAGUUUUUUUAAGAUUGAUGUUUUUUGUUUUAUUUUCAUCUUAUGACCAUUUUUUUUUAGUAAACACUGUUGUGGGCAAAAUUCUUUUCAUAGAUUAAAAAGUAUGAUGUGGAGACUGGAGCCUGAGACCCCACCCAAAAUUUUCUUAAGCCAAAAACGUUAAGUUAUUAUUUAUGUAUUUCAUAUGUUUCUAGCUAUGAUUUUAUUUUUUAACAAUUGAAUUUAGUUAUACAAAUUGAUUGUGCUUAACAUGGUAUAACUUCCUAUAAGCUGUAAAUAUAAAUUUUAUUAAAAUUUUAAAAAUUUAUUUUUAUUAUCUACCCGCUACAUCGCGCGGGUCUCUAUACUAGUAUAAUAUUAAAUUGAUACACUUUAAAUUACAUAGUACUAAAAUAAGAAGACGCGGAAUCACGGAAUGGUAUUUGAAGUUCUCUCCGAAAAUAAAAAUCAUAUAAUCAUGUUCACAAAAAAACAAAAGGACUAUGCCAAUAAAUGGCAUAAAACAAAUCUUUAUUUGUAGUUUUUCCAUGUGCCUGGACUUUUCCCCUCACAUUUUGAACCCUACAAAUACAUGAGACAAUCCCCUCCAACUCUUCCUCUCUCUCUUAACAAACUCAAUCACUCCCUUAUAGAGAGAGAGGGAGAGAGAGGGAGGGAGAAGGAGAUGGAGAAGCCAAGCAUGGAGGCUCCUCUGCUGACAAGCUGUGAUAACAAGAGAGAAGGGGGAGGGGAGGUUGUGAGGGAGGUGAAGAAGCAGCUGUGGUUGGCAGGGCCUCUCAUAGCAGGGAACCUUCUGCAAACCAUCAUACAAGUCAUAUCCAUAAUGUUUGUGGGCCAUCUUGGGGAGCUUGCCCUCUCUGGCUCUUCCAUGGCCAACUCCUUUGCUACAGUCACUGGUUUCAGUGUGUUGGUACGUCCUUUGCACCACAAUUCUUUCAUCUCCCUUCUUCUUUAUUGUUUGUUCAUAACCGGUUCAGAAUUGAACCGGAUAGGAUAAGUCUAGAGAGCGAUGCUGGUAGAGAGGUCUGAGUCAUGCGAGGAAUCUUACUGUGCCCAAAUCUUGUCGAAAUCUCUGUGCUAUCCCAUUCAAUCCAAUACUGAGUGCCAAACAAGGCCAAAAGUGAUGAAACAUGUCUUUAUGUAUGAUUUUUUUUUAGCAUGUAUGAUUCAAGAAAUCUAUCAUUAUCUAAUGUUUAGAAAAAUAAAAUAGCCUAAUGUUGUGGUUUUAGUUCUCACUACAUGUCAUGUGUCAUGUUAGUUUAUGGCAAGAGUUUAUUUAAGAAUUAGCCAUACAAUUAGAAGCAUCAAAGCUAUAAUUAUUUGUCUUUAUCAAAUGAAAAUUCUAUGAUUAUUUAGGGUAUUUCCUUCUCCUCAACUGGAGGAGGAAGUCUUGAUUGUCAAUUUCUAGUGCAAAAUCUCCUUCCUGCAGAAACUAGUGACCAGUCUUUUUCUGGGUUAACUAUUUUGACUAUAAAAUGGAUCAGAAAGGAAAAGAAGAAAAACUACAGAAGUGUUAGGGCACUUGUAUAUCAGAAAUUUAGAUUUAUACUACUUUGUAUGUAAAGAUCUUCAUGGAAAAGGAAUAGGAAAUAGCAAUCCAUUUGGCCCUGUUUUUCUGAUAAUUAGUUAAGUUAGCUUCUUAGGAGACAGCAAACAAAUUAAUAGUGUUUCCUUUCUCAUCCUUCGCCAGCAUAAACGGCAUAAGGCCUGUGAUGUAGAGAUAUUUCAAUCCCCUAAGCAUCUACAUAGAGAGUACCAUGUUAAAACAUUUGCAUUGGAUAUACACUUCGCGUAUACGUUCCGCACAUAUCGAAUAUUUCCAGAAGAGCAAAAUACACACACACUUUGUUUCUUUUAGCAUUUGGACCAGGGAUUAAGUUUUCUGUUAAUCUUGAAGCCUUACAUGUAAUAGCUGAAACUAAAGACUGUACAUUAUGAAUUUUCUAGUGUUUUAUGGUUAGUAAGCUGAAUAUUGUUCGCAUCUGACGGUUCUGCAUCAGAAAAUAUUGGUAUGAUGCUUGGUUGUUUGCGUACUACAUUAGUAACUUUCGCUUAAACAUUUUUGGCAUGUACAAUAAGUUGCGACUCUUGUGACAUCAAUUUCCUAUUAAAUGAACAGAGCAUGUAGGAUUCAAUUUUUUCAUCUACAUGCGGGCACUACUACAUUUCUGUAGAAAGAGAUGUAGGAAUAUUUGCAUCUACGUACAUAUGUGCAUAGCUAAUGUUCAUGUCCGUCCCGUGUCUGUGUCCGUGCAACAUAGAAUAAGAAAAUUCCUUCGCUUUAAUACAUAGUAUCAUUGAAAUUAUGCUAGAAUACAUUGUCUUUUAUACCGUACCUCGCUGUUAGCUUCUGCUCACAUGUUUAGUCGACGAACAUUUGAUAUACGAACAGAUAGUUGAAGGUUUAUCAUUUCAUCCAAAGACAGUGGCGAGGAUUAUGCAAUGUAAAGCUGUAGUUGUCGGAGAGAGCUUAAAGAUCCUUUUAAAAACAGUACUUAUUAGUGUAAAAUAUGUGCGUAAAUUACAUGAAAGCUCUAUUUUGGCACUGAAUUUGUGUUUUAUGGUUUUGUCACUGCUUAGUCAAUUCUCUUUUGGUUAUCAAAGCUUUACUAUUCUAAUUCCUUUUUAAUUAGAUGGGAAUGGGAAGCGCUUUGGAUACUCUAUGUGGGCAAUCCUUUGGAGCGAAGCAGAAUCACAUGCUUGGCAUUCACAUGCAGAGGGCAAUGCUAGUGCUCAUGCUCGUAAGCGUUCCGCUCACUGUAAUCUGGGCCUGCACUGGCCAAAUCCUUGUUCUCUGCGGGCAAGACCUGGAGAUCGCAAACGAAGCUGGAAUAUACGCUCGAUGGAUGAUCCCCGCGCUCUUCGCGUACGGCCUUCUGCAGUGCCACGUCCGAUUCCUGCAGACGCAGAACAUCGUCCUUCCGGUUAUGAUAAGCUCCGGGCUCACGGCUUUGCUUCACAUCGGAGUUUGUUGGGUGUUGGUGUAUGGAUUAGGCCUCGGUAGCAAAGGUGCUGCUCUGGCAAAUGCUAUAUCAUACUGGAUAAAUGUGUUACUGCUGGCAGCUUAUGUUCGACUGUCGAAUGACUGCAAGAAGACUUGGACCGGCUUUUCGAGAGAGGCUUUUCAUGAUACUUUGAGCUUCAUCAGACUCGCCGUUCCGUCAGCUUUGAUGGUUUGGUAGGAAAACAGUUGAACUUGUGAUUCAUCAUAUAAUUUUGUUUAUGAUCAGAUCACUAUUUCUGACCUAAAGUGCUUCUUGAGACAGCCUGGAAUGGUGGUCGUACGAGCUUCUCGUGCUUCUUUCUGGUCUUCUUCCGAACCCGCAGCUUGAAACUUCCGUGCUAUCGAUAAGGUUAGAAAUGCUUAUUUAGUUUCAUUGUUUUGUGUCUCGAAAUUUGGUUAUCGAGUUCGAUUUUGUGCUCACGAUUCACCAAAAGCUUCGCGGUGCGACAAAUUUUAAGAAAAAAAGGAUGCCUGUGAUGAAAGCUGAGGGAUCGGAUCAAACAAUUAAGGAACAAACAGAUCAGAUCACGUUCCAGUUUUUCUUUCCUUUUCCACGCAAAUCCUUGUGUUCUAUUUUCUUUUACUGUUUUUGUGGUUUGUUUACUUCCUGAUCGUCGUUUUUCGUUUCUGCUCGUACGCUCGUCAUUACAGUUUUGUCAUAUUCUUGUACUAAGAGCAUCUUGUUUUUCUUUAGCCUUAACACUGCUUCGUUGGCAUUCAUGAUUCCUUUCGGUCUUGGAGCUGCAAUAAGGUUAGUUGUGCACGCAAAGUGUCUCUCUCUCUCUCUCUCUCUCUCUCUCUUUUAUUUGAAUUGAACAAAAAGAUAUUCUCAUCUCUUCUUUCCUCGCUUUUUCAUAGCACGCGCGUCUCAAAUGAGCUCGGUGCGGGGCGGCCUGAUACAGCUCGGCUCGCGGUACGCGUAGUGGUGUUUUUGUGCAUUGCAGAAGGAGUAAUGGUUGGACUGAUCAUGAUUUUGGUGCGCGGCGUCUGGGGAUAUGCAUACAGCAAUGAAGAGGAGGUUGUGAAAUAUGUGGCUGUCAUGCUGCCGAUUCUUGCAGUAUCCCACGUCUUCGACGGAAUCCAAAGUGUUCUUUCAGGUAAACUCUUUGUUCUAUUUUCAUGUCAAGUUUACUAUGUUCAUGUAAUUUUUUGUCUUUAAAACUUAUUUUGCUUCUCUCAUUCUCUUCGAUUACAUAAUAUGAAGAAAAUCUAGCCGAGUUCCACAAUUUUUACAAUCAGCGCGGAAAAUCUUUCAACGAUCACAACUUUUCGCUCGAGUGUUCGUUUUUAGCUUGCAAUCCUAAUUCGAAAAACACUUUUCGAGAUCUACGUAUAGGACCAAAUUCAACUAUUUAGACCUUCUUUUUUACAUUUUUAUGUAAUUUUCGAAAAGUUUUGUAUUUUGUCUAUUUUGAGUCUGAUUAUUUGAUUAUUUCUGUUCGGUUUAGAUUUAG
rnacentral:lncRNA from 1 species